rnacentral:lncRNA from 1 species
GGGGAAGAUCUUAUUAAUGUUUAGACUGUUGGUUCUAAUGGUAUUGUUGGAUUAGUGCCACCGCUUUGGUGUUGGUUAAUUAAAAUAAAUCACAUGGUGGGCUGUGGGUACAUGGUUUUGCUGGUCGCACCCAUGGCAGUUAAGGACCGGUUCGCGGGAUGCCCUGGAAGAACUUAUCGUACUUACCACAAGCCAGCGUGGGCAACGGCUGGGCUUGUAGUGUAGUUUUCCUCUAGUCAACGCAUCCAGGCAAGGGUGGGCGUGAUGGAGCGGGACGGGCCCUGCGACGGCCUCUGUCGCUUCUGGAUUCACCUAGGCACGAGAGGGGACUGCCCGCUGCCUUGCGAGGAGUGGGGGUGAAACCAGAGGUGUGGUGUGCUUGGUUAGAGGGGGUUAUGCGAAGGGUCCUGUCACGGCCUCUUUCCGGUAUGUCGUGGUGACAUGUCGGCGCACGGUAACGUGUCGUGGGGCUGUGUCUUGUGGGUACAGUUGUACACCUCUGAUCAGAGUAAAACUAUUCGAAUAGCCGUGCCCGCGGUUAUGGGCGGUCAACCAGAUUCACCGUGAUUAGUCUCACCCUAGUGUAAUCUUUUGAUUUUGGAUAGUUUAGGUGGAUGGUUGGGCCUGUUGCAACGUGGGAUAGCGUUGGACAGUGGAUAGUUAAUAUUAAUUAAUUAUUACAACUGUUUAAAUCUUUCAAUUUCUGUUUUUUUUAAUGCUCGCUUUAUGCAAACGAACCACUUUAGCUCUUCUUUGAUAAUUCCCUGCAUCAUGCCUCUAUUCCGGUAUGACUUGCUGAGUACAGUGGGUAGUACUCAGUCUUGCUCUAUUUUUCCCAACCCCAGAGCACGAGUAUGUGUCAGAUGAAGGUUUCUCCGAGGAGUAGGCUUCGUCCGUGCCGUCGAGGAUGCCUGUGGAGUGGUGUUCCCGCUGCAGUUCUAGUCAAGGCUUAGCUCCUGUUGUCUUUCGUUUUUCCGCUGCAUUUACGUAAGACUUUUAUGAUGUUUGUAAGACGUGGAUCUGAAUGUCAACAUUGUCAUUUGUGUACCCCGGCCGGUCCUGGACGGGCAUUUUAAUGCACAUUCUGCUUGGAAUUCUAUUCGGGAAUUUCUGGGCAUGACAAUACUGUCCUUGAAUAAUUGUGGUACCCUCUGUUUGUAUCCUUAAGAAUGGUUUUGAGUACUUCACUUGUGCUCGAUUGGGCCUAUACAUGCUUUAUAUGCUACUACUUGCUUAGCAAUGCGUAGAAAUAUGCAAAUACUCAAUCUUAUCAUUUUAUAAUUGAAUUUUGGGCAUUUAUUUAUUUCUGGGCAAAAAUGAAAAUGCUAAGUAUUUGUGAACUAAAAUGAGGAUAAAAUGAUUUUAGACUUGGGCGGCGUGGUGUGUAUAUGGUGGUAGUUGCACAACAAUAGUGAGAGUGUUCGACCGGGUCGAUUAAGGACCGAACUUCAUAUCACCAACUAAUAUUUACCGUACAUCCACAUGUGCUAUCUAUGGGGAUAGCCUUGCCUAACGUUAUUUUCUGUCAACUUCGACUAACAAAAUAAAAUGACCAGCAGGGAGUCAUCCUAAUCACAGCUCAUAUCGCUCACUCAUGGAGACCGCUGAGCUGUGCUGUUUGCUAGCUCUUCUUCCUCUUGUAUACUGCCUCCUCACGCUCUUCCAUGGCUCACGCGAGAGCGACCUUCGGCUACCUCCUGGGCCAUGGCGGCUCCCGCUCAUCGGCAGCCUCCACCACCUGUUCGGCCGCACGCUCCCGCACCGCGCGCUGCGCGACCUGGCUCGCCUCCAUGGCCCCCUCAUGCUCCUCAGCUUUGGCCAGGCGGCUCCGGUGGUUAUCGCGUCCACGGCCAUUGCGGCUAGAGAGAUCAUGAGGACGCACGACGACAACUUCUCCACGCGGCCACUGAGCACCGUGCUGAAGGUCUGCACCAGGUAUGGCGCGGGGAUGACGUUCGUGCCCUACGGCGAGCACUGGCUGCAGGUGCGGAAGAUCUGCAGCCUUGAGCUGCUGAGCCCCAGGCGCAUCCUCAAGUUCCGCAGCAUCCGGGAGGAGGAGGUGGCGCGGCUCGUCCUGGCCAUCGCCUCAUCAUCGACGCCGACGCCGACGCCGCCUGCACCUGUGAAUCUGAGCAAGCUCCUCAGCAACUACAUGACGGACGCGACGGUGCACAUCAUCAUGGGCCAGUGUUUCAGGGAUCGCGACACCUUGGUCCGCUACGUCGACGAGGCCGUGCGGCUGGCGAGCAGCCUUACCAUGGCCGACCUGUUCCCCUCAUGGAGGCUGCCACGCGUGAUGUGCGCAACAACUCUGCACAGGGCAGAGGUGUUCGUCGAGUCCGUCAUGGAGUUCAUGGAUCGCGUCAUCAGCGAGCACCUUGAGAAGAGGUCGUGUCAGGGAGGAGACCGCGAGGAGGACCUCAUCGAUGUCCUCCUCCGGCUACAAGCAGAAGGAAACCUGGAGUUCGAGCUUAGCACCAGCAUAAUCAAAGCAAUCAUUUUUGUAAGGAACAUCUUCAUGUCAUGAAUUGCAUUAAUUUUUUUUCUCUUCUACGGAUUGAUUGUUUGACUAGCAGAGAGAAACAAUAUAUACAGGAACUUUUGGCAGGCGGGAGCGAGGCGCCAAUAACGACGCUGCAAUGGGCCAUGGCAGAGCUGAUGAGGAACCCAGAUGUGAUGUCGAGGGCACAGGCCGAGGUCAGGGAAGCCUACAAGGAGAAAAUGAAGGUAACUGAGGAGGGCCUAACUAACCUACCCUAUCUACAUUGUAUCAUCAAGGAGACCCUGCGGCUCCACACUCCUGGGCCAUUUGUUCUACCAAGGAAAUGCCAAGAGCAAUGUCAAAUACUCAGCUAUGACGUACCCAAGAGAGCUACUGUAGUCGUGAAUAUAUGGGCUAUUUGCAGGGACGCUGAGAUUUGGGAUGAACCAGAGAAGUUCAUGCCAGAUAGGUUUGAGGGUAGUGCAAUAGAACACAAAGGCAACCACUUCGAGUUCAUACCGUUUGGUGCUGGGCGAAGAAUUUGCCCUGGAAUGAAUUUUGCACUUGCUAAUAUGGAGCUUGCUCUCGCAAGUCUUCUGUUUUAUUUUGACUGGAGUCUUCCGGAAGACGUUCUCCCCGGCGAUUUGGACAUGACGGAAACUAUGGGCCUCACUGCUAGGAGGAAGGAGGACCUUUAUGUGUGUGCUAUUCCAUUUGUGCAACUCCCCUAAUUUCCUUCGCCUCUUGUUCAGCUUGAUGGUUGUCCUAUCGAAAUGACUCUACCACUCUACGUCUAGAGCAAGAAUAAAAUCCCACAUGGCAUUGUCUAGCCAUGGAUUGUUGUAUGUUUUUCUGCAUUCUUUUUGUUGGAACUUGUACUUGUUUAUUGUGAACAUGUAUGUUUGAGAUCAAUGGUUUUAUCUAAGGAGUAUAUUUAAAUUUCAACUGUAGAGGACAAAAAUUAAUUGAGGAUUAAGCGUUUGAUAUUUUUCCUUUUACCAAUAAUUUCUAAAGUUACCUAAAAUCUGAUAGAGGCUUUAAUAGACUUAUAGCAAUAGAUAGGAUGACAGUUAACAUCUUGUGACAGCCAUAAGCAUGUAGGACCGAACAGCAACAAGAACUAAUCCAACCAGAGGGGGUGAAUGGUUGGUGUAUCCAAAAACAAAAACUUUUAGCGGAAUUAAAAGUUAUCCUCGAAUCGAUGGAACGCGGUCUGACCGAAGUAGAUGCGCCGGUCUGACCGCCUGAAUAUCUUCGGUCUGACCAGAGUAGAUCGUCCGGUCUAACCGCCCCAAAGAUUAGCUGUUGUCGCAAACUCAUACAAGAAGUCCUAAUCCACCUAGGAAACCUUAUCGUACAAGAAACCAACUUUACAAACUCCAAUCAUACCAAAUUUGGACUCCUUCCAAAUUUGACUCUGCAUCCCAUACGCACACAAUAUCUCCAUCGUAUGCCAUAUGGAAUCUUCACCAACCACGUGCAUUGAUCUUUAGCCUAAAUAUCCCUCAUGAUAUUUGACCGUCCGGACGUACAUCACCUUAUCUUCAAGUUGACUUCCGAUCCAUCACCGGCAAUACUCCCCCGAAGCAUCAAGGCACCUACACAUGAAUCAAACAAAGAAACCAUAUUCCGAGCCCAAGCUAUCUCCAACUUGACAUAUUGUUAGCAAACAACAGUAUUACAUACGCAUAGUAUCCAUCUAGAAGCCAUAAACAUGAAACAUCCACGGAUAUCCAACAAAACAACCUGAAACCGAAACCGACACAGGGUCGGCCGGUCAGACCGCGGGCUGGCCGUUCUGAUCGCACAAAUACCUCCAGUCUAACCAGCAACCACUGCCCGGUCUAAGCGGUUCUCACCUGUCAGCAACACCUGUUCAUCACCUAAAAAUUCAAUCAUCUCCAAAACUGCUUCGCUAAUAAUCUCCAAAUAUCAAUAUCAAUAAUCUUAUAUGCCAAUUGUUCAUCACAGAAUAAGAAUCAAAUACACUUUGAUUUUACAGAGCAUUUUAUCUAGAGAUGGUCAAAUCUUUCAUGGAUACAAGUUUUCUCAUGUUCGAUGAGAAACCAGUUGGGACUUUCAAACUAUGCAAGCAUCUACAGAAAGUCUUUUUCUCUUCUAGUGUCAGUGAAUAGCAUGCCGGACGAAUCUCGAUCUUCCCAUUUGCCAGCUCUUUUGGGUGAAGGUCAUGCCUUAUGUCCAGAUUUACCAGGUCGGUACAUGACUUCAGCCCAUCUUUCAUCUUACUCAGGUUGUCUGUAAAGUGCCAAUGGUGAUGUUGAACACAUUCUUCUCAAGAUGCAUUACUUCAAUGGCAUGACGAAUCUCCAGGUCUUUCUAGUAUUCUAGAUACCUGAAAAAUAUUGAGUGCUUCUUGAAAAGAAACGUAUCAUCCUGAUCCGUUGCAUCUGUACUAUCCUGAUCCGUUCCUUUCUUCCUCUUGCAUGCCUUCUUCUUUCCUUUCUCGAACACGACCUUAAUAUUCUUUGUCAUGUUGAAGACUUGUGUACCAGUUCGUUUUUCAGGAGGAAGAUCGUUCUCCACUGUCUUGUCGAAUAAUAUGGCCAUCGCACGCCACUUGUGCCUCUGUGAUAAGAACCGACGAUGACGCAUGUACACCGUCUUCCUUAAGGAGGUGAGGUACUUGUACGACGUGUUGUCGAUACAUAUAAGACAUCCAAACUUCCCCUUAAGCUGGCGUGAGAGUGAAAAGUUCGCCAACAGGUCAUUGAUGGUAACGAAUAUGAUAGCACGCAGAGUAAAAUGUUCCAUGCAAUACUCAUCCCACACUCGUCACCCUUCUUUCCACAUUUCUUGCAUGUUCUCCAUCAAUGGUUCAAGAAACACAUUUAUGUCAAUCCCAGGCUGUUUUGGCCCUUGUAUAAGGUUAGUCAACAAAAUGUACUUUCACUUCUGGCAAAUCAAUGUAGCCAAGUUAUACAUGCUGAGCAGCAAAUCCAUGUAACCCAACCUCACGCGAUGAUGCAUGGCCUAUAUAGCCCCAGCCUGACCCUGCCCCAUUUAGCCCGGCGUUUUCUCUCUCCUAAACUUAGGGGGGGAGGUUUUCAACCUCAAAUAUUUGCUUGGGAUCCAUAUAAAAGGUGGCAUGCUUGUUGUCCUCCGUUUAUCCAUAUAAAAUUGCACUUUUCUAAAUGGAGUAGUGUAGGCACUUUUAGUGUUUUUUACUAACAUAUAUUAUUUGCAUGGCAUGUUUUUAAAAGUAUUUAGUAGUCCAUACCUUUUUAAUGGAUACUUUGUUAGGUUUGCCUUUAUUUAUUUCAAAUUUCAUCGGAUAAAAGCGAAGAAUUUAUACAUUUUUUGAAAUGGACAAUUUUUUAUUGAAUAAAUAUAUUGUUUGCAAAUUUGUAUAGUAUUUAGUACUGCAUAGUACUUAAAUUUAAUCUUUGUUUAGGUUCCUUCAUUUAUUUCAAAAAUUUUUAGUGGUAUGCGAUGAAUAUACUAUUUGUUUAGUUUCCUCAAUUUAUUUCAAAUUAUUUAGUGGAAUGUGAUGAAUAUACUAGUUUUGCAAAUGUAGUAAUUAUAGGUAAUUUUUAAUUUUUUAAAUUAAUGUUAUUGGAAUCACUAGAGCAUGAAGAGUAAUAUAAUGUCUGUUUAAGCUGUAUCGUUUUUUCAUAAGGAUCCAGGCUUGCCCUUCCGUGCUCUCGUCCGUGUGAGGGUGGAUGAGACCAAGGCGAGGGGCCUCUCUAUCAAAUCUGGCCACCACGAUCGAACUCGGAUGCGAAGAUAAUGGCGAUGGAGGCGAUCACGAGCAGGAGCAGCGGCUCCAUCCCCAUCUAUUUAGCAUGUUUAUUUAGCGAUUUGCAGAUAUUUUUCCUUCUUUUUCUGAUAUAUUCAUUUUUCCCUUGUUGAUGUUCCUUUUUCCUUUGAUGCAUGAAAGUUAUUUGUGUAUAUGAAUAGCUGGGUACUCGGGUAAUAUAUGGAUUCUGAUUGGAGUGAUGCAAUGGUGCACUUGUGCCAAAAUCUUGAACUAAGUUUUUUGUGAUUUGUGAGGUUGAAGAACAAUUUGGGAUUGAUAAAGAACUAUUUAAGAUUGUUUUUUUUUUUAUUCCAGACAUUGGCUCGAAUCAUGCUGAGACGCCUCUUUUGUUCUCUCUUUCAAAUCGUUCCAAGGAUAGUUUCCUAACCUAUCUGAUUAAAAGCCAUGGCCUGGAAAUAGGCCCAUGAAAGCCGCCUAAACCAGAUUGGUUAGGAAAGUGCAAGAAUACCACCGUAAGUGUCUCUAUCAAAGGGAUAAUAAUAUAAACUUUGUACUACUAUAAGAAAAACCUUAGGGUUUGCUUAGGGUGCGUUUGGUUCACGAUUAAGGUUGGAUAGGAUAUGGUGGUUCCUAUUUUGUUGGAUAUGGUGAUCCAAUUUUUUAUUUGGUUGAGCGAAUAUGACGAUUCAGUCUUUUGUUUGGUUGUAAGGAUGAAGAUGGAUUUGGUGAUUCAAUUUUUUGUUUGGUUGGAGGGAGUAUGAUGAAUUUGUAGGUGUGGUCACCUCUCACUUGAGAUGGUGAAUAUAACCUCCCCCCAAUCAAAUUAAUACAUAAUACAAAUCAUAAAAUUUCCAACCAUUUACACCACUAUCUCCAUUAUAAAUAUACAUAGAAAAAAGAAAAAGAAAAAGAAAAAAAAAGGAAAAAAAGUCGGCUGGAUCUGGGGGCUCACCACCGCCGCCGCCUCCUCCCGCCGGCCACCACCUCUCGCCUCCUCCCCCCCCCCCCCCGGCCGCUGCCUCUCGCCUCCUCCGCCGCCGCCUCCUCCCACCGGCCGCCGCCGCCUCCUCCCACCGGCCGCCGCCUCCCGCGGCCGCCGCUGGCCUCCACCGCCACCUCCUCCCGCAAUGCGUCGUCGUCGUCACCGGCUAGGCUCACAUCACCAUCAUCAUCGCCUCCGCGCUCAUCUCCCACGCCAGAUCUCCAAGCUUACCACCACUCCCUCCUUCCUCCGCCACUGCUCUCACCGCUGCUCCCUCCUCUCGCCGAUGCGGCGCUCGCGCCCGCACCGGCCGCAGCACGUCGUCGUCGUCGUUGCUGAGCACGCAUCGGCAUUGUCGUCACCGGCCGGCCAGCUCGCGUUGUCACCGCCCAGCUCUCUCUCUCUCUCCCUCUCUCUCUCUCUCUCUCCACAGGUUGACGUGACCACUCGCCUGGCUCGCUCGCUCGCUCGGGCGGUCGCAUCCGGGCGAAUCGGCCAGAGCUAGCCAUUCGGCAUCAGAGGGGAAUAUUCCCCUCUAGGCCACCAUGUCCUAUCCACCCAAAACGUCCCAUCCAAACACACCCUUAUUGUGCGGUAAGCCAUAAAUAGAUCCCAAGGGGUACUUUGCAAGUGAGAGUUUCAAAUCAAUAUACUCCCUCCGUACUCGUAAAGGAAGUCGUUUAGGAUAAUGUUUAAGUCAAACCUUGGGAAUAUAAAUCAUGAAUAACUCUCAAGUUAUUGAGUUUGAAAAUGUAAAAAUUAUAUGAAUAGAUUUGUCUUGAAAAAUGCUUUCAUAAAAGUAUACAUAUAUACAUAUAUAUAUAUAUAUAUAUAUAUAUAUAUAUAUAUAUAUAUAUAUAUAUAUAUAUAUAUAUAUAUAUAUAUAUAUAUAUAUAUAUAUAUAUAUAUAUAUAUAUCACUUUUCAAUAAAUAUUUUUAUAGAAACAAGAAGUCAAAGUUGUGUUUUGGAAACCGUGUCGCUGUUCAAAACGACUUCCUUUAAGAGUACGGAGGGAGUACUACUUUAUUAGUUUUGUCCAUACUCAGGACAAUUGUUGUGCCUUUUGACAAUACUCAAAAACAUGUAAGUUUAAAUUUGUCUUCGAGUUAAAAAUAAAUAUGACUAUGAAUAUAUGCUUAUUAACUAGUGUUUGAUUUGUUGUUUUGUUUCAACUCGUAGAAAUCGAAUUUUAACUUACAUGUUUGUGAAGUGUUUAUGUAAAAAAAUCAUAAAUAUUUAUGUGACAUACAGAAGACAAGGAGACAUCCCUCGAAAGUUUAAAAUCAAUUCCCACAAUUCAGAGCAAACUUCCUCAACUAUAUACUUGGCGUAUUAACAAAAUUAACAAAUUUUGUGCCAAAAGAGACAAGGCUGCUGACCCUCACUAUGUUAAAGGAGCAUUUGUUUUUUUAGGAAAUUGCUUAAAUAAACAUUCGACAUCGCCAUAAGAUUCAUGUGAGGUAAGGUAGGAGGUUAACCCACAACAUGCUUGGUGGACACAUACGACCCUAGCGCGAACCUGAUAUAUGUUUGUUUCAUCCGGUCACAGAUAAUUUAAUACAAAUUACUUUAAAAUUAUAGUUACAAUAUAAUUCACUUCAGUUACACUACUUUUUUUUUUACAAAAACUAUCCAACAUUCUGCAACUACUCCUGCUUUUUUUUAAUAAAAAAAAAGUCCAACUCUUCCGAGCAUCCAACGCUUAUUGCUCAGUGCAGCCAGACAUAAACCCCAUAUAUAAGUUGUCAAUUCUCAAGGGCCCAUUUCCCUUCCAUCUCUGCCUCACUCUUCUCCACACUAACACCCAAGAUGCGGAGCCUCCACUGCGCUCUCCUCCUGCUCGCCGUCGCCGCCGCCGCCGUCCACCACCUGCCACCGGCCGCGUCGUUGCCGGCAAUGCCGAACCCAGCGUCGCUCGAGCCGUCGCUGCUCUUCCCGUCGUCGUCCGGCGCGUCCUCCCAGCCGGCGCAGCCCGGCCCCGGCGCCGCGUCGUCCACCAUCCCGGCGUUCCCGGAGCAGUCGGAGGCCGCCGCCGCCACCUCCGUCUGCCAGCUCGCCCCGUCCCCGCCCCUUCUCCCCGCCGUCCUCGCCUCCUGCAACGCCGGGGGCGGCGCGCUCCCGCCGCGGCUGCGUUGCUGCCCCGCGCUCGCCGCCUGGAUGUACGCCGCGUACGCGCCCACCGCGCUGCUGGCAGCGGCGGCAGGAGGAGGCGGAGGCGUGCCCGGCGCGGCGCACUCCACGGCGUCGGCGGCGGAGGCGGUGGCGGCGGUGGUGGACCUGCCGGUGCUUCCCGACGACGCGGAGGAGUGCGCCGGCGCGGCGGAGCGCGCUCUGCUCGCGGCGGGUGCGUCGCUGCCGCCGCCGCCGCCGCCGUCGCAGGUGGGCGCCAACGGGACGACGGCGGCGGCGGCGUGCGACGUGCCGUUCUGCUACUGCCGGGUGAGGCUGAGGCGGCCGGCGUGCGCGGCGCCGGCGGGGAGGGCGGCGAGGAGGCUGGAGAAGGCGUGCUCGCGGCCGGGGCUCGCCGGCUGCUCCAGGUGUCUCCGGGCGCUGAACCAGGUGAGCCUCGACGCACACUAACACAGGCUUCUCCUUGGAUUGCUUCUUUAAUUUGGUGCAGUGGACUGGGUGCAUUCAAGCUUCAUAAAUCGCUACAACAUUUCUAUUUACUUAAACUAAUGGAAGCUUAAGAUUGUUGAUCAUGGGAAUCAUUUCAUGCAUGGUACUACUUUUUUUUUCUUUUAUUUUUUUAUGUUUUUCUCUUCUUUUUUAUUUUCAAAUUAAAGCAAGAAAUUAACUAAUAUAUCAUUUACUACUUUUAAAUAUGUCAAAGAACAUGAUAUCAAAGUUUUGUGUACCUAACGGUAUCAAAGUACUGCCUAGUAUCAAACAGAUGUAUGGAAUUGGGGUGGUAAAUAAGGUCCUAUCUAGAAUGUAUGAAUUUGUACGUGUAGAUUUAUGGAAAAGGGAGCAUCCAUCACAAUAUCUCAUUGCUCUGAAUAUGGUCUGACACAGAUUGGAAAACUUAUUAUCACAGAAUUGAAGUUUUUUUUUUUUGGGAACAAGUGUUGAAGUUAUCUGAAAUGUAGUUUUUGCAAAAUAUUUUAGCUGGCAGCUUUUCUUUAUAAUGGAAAAUCUUACAUUUCCGGCCUUUGCUAUAAUAGUAAAUACAUAAUAUAUAUAUAUAUAUAUAUAUAUAUAUAUAUAUAUAUAUAUAUAUAUAUAUAUAUAGUAAAAUAUUUUAGCUGGCUUGGCUGACUGAAAUUACAAAAUGGAAAAAAUGACACACGUCCUUAUUAUUUUAUUUUAUUUUCAAAGUAUAAUAUGAGAAAAAUAAAAGCUUUAUAUCUUAAUUAACCAGGGAAAAUGCAUUUAUCAGAACAUAACAAUUUUCUCAUUAAUUUUUGGAAACAUCUUGAAAGGUUCCAAAAAUCACAAAUUAAUUGUAUUAAGGUUUGAAAAUCAUAAUGGUGGCCGGUGUAGGGAAUAAGGUAGCUAAGUAAAAGUGAACACCUAUCUGAUAAAUUAGAAAAGAUAGUUUUCCCUCAAGGACAGGCAAUGUAUAUGUAUCCACAAGAACAGACAAAUAGACGGUCCCAGGAUUUAUUUACAGCCAACAAAAUGUCCAGGAAAAUGUCAAUUGAAGUUCACAGGUUCCAUAUAGUACGUACGUAGUCACAAAUCCUAUAGGGUACAACACAAGAGGACCCCCAUGUAAUAAUUAAACAAAGGAUAAACUACUAUAGCUACAAUGCACUGCAAGUCUAGAAGAGUUUCCUCAGACUUUCUGCACAUAGUUAGCUGUAUUGUGAUGCAAUGUAAGCAUUACUUUCAGUAGAGCCACAUAUACAGCUAUACUCCCUCCAUCCCAAAAAAAAAAAAAAAGCAAACCCUGAAUUUCCGUACCAACGUUUGACUGUCCGUCUUAUAUGAAUUUUUUUAAUAAUUAGUAUUUUCAUUGUUGUUAGAUGAUAAAACAUGAUAAUAUUUUAUGCGUGACUUAUCUUUUUAAUUUUUUUCAUAAUUUUUUCAAAUAAGACGGACGGUCAAACAUUGGACACGGAAACCAGAGUUUGUCUUUUUGGGACAGAGAGAGUACAUACAUACUUUCUGUCCUACUCAUCACACCUUUUCUCGUUUUUCACGCGUAUGUUUCCCAAAUUUGUUUUUGUUUUCUUGCAAAAAAAAAUGUAUACGAAAGUUAUUUUAAAAAUUAUAUUAAUCUAUUUUUUUUAAAAAAAUAGUUAAUACUUAAUUAAUCAUGUAUUAAUGGAUUGUUUCAUUUUGUAUAUGCGAAUGAUUGGUUCCCAGCAUCAACAUCCGAACACAGUCAGCUUAGUCUCUACUAGUAGUCUGUACCAAAGUUGCAUUCCUUUAUUCUUCUCGGGUUCUUCCUGCCUUUUCUUGUGUGAUGUGAUAAUGCUGUAGCCUGGCCCUGUAUCUCACAUAGACUUGGCUCACCUGGAAUUUGGUGCAUAUAUACAACUGAAUUUACAGAAAUGCACUUGGAAGUGUGACAGUGAGAAAAAAUUUUAAUCAGAGAUCCGGGCCGGAUGGGUAGGGCCUGGAGCAAUGGAGAGCAUGAUUUGGUUCUGAACACCAUGCCUCCCACAGCUUUAUUUCACAACUUUCACUUUGGCUCGCUUGCUUUACCAUUGUUUUGCUUCAGGACUCGAUGCGCCAUUGUUUGCCCCCCUCUCAUCUCUUCUUGCUUUUGUUUUCUUUCUCUCUUCGCCUCAAAAGCCUCCACUUCCCAUACCGAAUCAUUGGCUUUACGACCCAAGCUUACCACUGGCCGGCGGUGUCGUCAAGUUUCACUUUCACCAUCUCAUUUUCUUUUCAGAGAGAGAGAGAAAGAGAGUGUGUCUGUCUCUGUGUGUUUCACAGACGGCCUCAACAAUGGUGAUCUUCUUCUGUGCCAAUGCCAUUGUCAUACGACAUGCGUCACAUGAGGUUGGAGAGUUCCGAGAGAUAGAUGUGUGUGGGUGGCGAUGUGACGCCAUGUCUCGCACGCAUGCGCUUUGCAAUCGCAAUAUCUUGCUGGCAAUCUCUCCAAAUUGAACUGUUGCGAGAGCUAGCCAGCAAGGGCAUAUUGGCAGGAGGAGAAGCCCCUCCCGUUUUUUGUCCCUUGUCAAUCUUAGCUGGAAUCUCUUCGAUUAUUUACUAGUACUACUCCGUAUCAUGUUCUGAAUGAGACGACGCAUAAAUGAUUUUCUUUUACUGUGUAGUGUGAUCGAUCGAGUUGACCUAUAACAGUGUGUAUCAACUGCAUAUGGACAACGCUGAACAUCUGAUUAUGCUGCCAUUAAUUAAGAAAUCCUGCGAGAACAUUGAUUAGUUGCUCGGCUGAAACGAUUGAUCAAGUAUAGUAGUUUGCAUCCUUAAUUAAUUACCUUGCAACGAAAACUGCCUUUAAUUUCGUUUUGUCAACUUGUAAACAAAAGAGCUCAUAAUUGUUUCACAAUUGUUAAAUGUUAAUUAGCCCGAUUAUUAGCUCAUUUCUUAUGUUCUUGGAUAUAUUGUUGAAGCUCAACGGAGGGAACGCCACGAAAGCGGCCAACGCGAGCCACGGCGGCGCGCAGGCGCAGCAGCAGCAGCAGCGCCAGCGCGACUGCCAGCUCAUGGGGCUGACGUGGCUGCUCCACCGGAACGCCACGCGGCACGGCGCCGCGGCCACGGCGGUGAUCCAGGCGCUCAUGGCCGCCGACGACGCCACCGGCCGGCCCGCCCCUUGCUCGCUCCCCUCCGACGACCUGCCGGUCGCCGUCGCCUCGUCGGAGAUCAACGGCGCCGCCGCCUCCAAGCUCGCUGGCGGUGGACUGAAUAUCGGCCGCCUCCUCCUUCGUCACGCCGUCGUGCUGGCUGCUUUCGCCAUGAUCUUGUCGUCGCAGUACUGCUUCUGAAUGAUCAUCGGUAAAAUUUGCUAGUUAGUUAAUGUCUGUGUGAGAUUGAUGUCGAUCGUUUUUUUUUCUUUAGUUAGUUCUUCAAAGAGUAGGGAUUGCAUUUCGUUAAUGUAAUUAUGUGCUGUCCUGGAUCCAGCUAGCUAGCAAAUCUGAUUAUCUGAGAGUGAGCACUGAGCAGUAGCAUGAAUAUCAAUGAAUCAGUUGUACGGAAAUUUUAGCACUAAUCCGCUACCUGAUCUUUUUCCAACGGAUAGAACGUUUGGAUAGAUUUACCUGGGAAGGGGACCAGAUUCUACAAAUUCUCAGAUAGAUUGGUAGAGUAGGAAACAGGAGAUAACUGUCUGGAAACCUCUCUCGUUCUGCAACUGAAGUUUAUCUGAACUUCAUAGGAUGGAUAGUUAUGUGAAAGGGUAUGUAGCCUAGUGGUUGUAGUGAUCUGAGUAGCACCCCAAGAUCCUGAGUGGCUGAGUUCAAAUCUCCAUAUAAGUGAAUUUGAGAUUGGGUUAUUUGAGAGCUAAGUUCCGGCUAAGUUUCCUAUCUGAUAGACGAGUAAAAUGCGUCACAUGUACCACAACUUGUAGAGUGGGUGCAAUUUAGUCACAUAUUUUGUAAAUUGCUCAAAUAAGUCACUCAACUUGUUUUGAGGUGCAAAUCUAACUGAAAAGGUGCCACGCGUAUUAUUUAUGCCAAGGUAGACGCCACAUCAGCAUGACAGGUUGACCUUGUAUGCAAAGAACAAAGAUGCAAAGUAGCCCUUACAUUGUUUCAAUUUUUCGUUUGAGUACAUAGAUUUGUUUGAUACUCCAUGGAUAUAGCUUCAUGGAUUUAUGUGCUAAGAUUUUGCAAUACGAGAGAAUCCAUGUGAUGGCAGUAGAACAACUAAUCAUAUGUGGGCUGAUGAACACCAGUAAGACGCGGAAUUGGAGCCAUCAAAUGGAGCGCUCGUGGCCAGCGUUGAUGAUUUCGCCGGUGAUGGAUUCGUAUGCAGCCACGCAGGCUAUCGCCGCGACUCGCUAGACCUGGCGUCGUCCUGUCCCGUGCACAUGCUAACAAAAAAACCUACAAUCAUGGCUUAGCACACGGGCAUAACAGAUAUAAAUAGGCCAAUUAGAUUAGCAAAGAGUAAUAUAGUAGAAGGGUUUUUCUAUAAAAUUGUAUUACUUUCGCCAACUCAUCGUCACGUCUGCCAUCGUAUCGUCCACUUUGACAAAAAUAAUACACGUGGCACGUUUUUGAUUAUAUUUGCACCCGCAAACAAAUUGAAUGACUUAUUUGAGCAAUUUAUAAGAUGUGUGACUAAAUUGCACCCAUCUUGUAAGUUGUGAUACCUACAACGCAUUUUACUCUUGAUAGGCUAAAUUGCUAAUUUAAAAAGACUACAUAUAUCCGGUUGGAUAUAGAGGCCGGGUAAAAAAUACCCUUAUCAAAAAAAAAAAAGAAGGAUGGAUGGCUAUUGGCUACAUUAACGGAAGAACCUGAAAACAUAAGAACAGAGAGCGACCACACAGCUGGAGGACAAAAUAGCAAUGGCCUCUAUUUAUUUCGAUUACAUCAAGAUGUGCACAGGGCAGCUCACUAUUAUACACGUACAUCUUGCAAACAUACUCACGAAUGCACUCUUAAUACACGUCGAAAUCUUCUAUUAUAUAUUUAAAAGUCCAUUAAACUUCCUACAAGCGCUCUUAAGCCGCCACGUGGCACUUCUACGAACGCUUCUAGACCGCCACGUGGCAAUGCCUAAUCUCACCGUUGAUUUUCACUUAAAUCGGUGAACCUGAAAAUUUGGACCAUUAGAUUAGAUUAGAUUAGAUAUAUUUUAUUUAAAAAAGAAACUAAUACCUUACUGUUGGCCGAAAAAAAAACGUAAGAAUUCCAUAAGUACGUACGUACGGCUUAAAACAAUAAAACUUAAAUACUGUUCAUCGGUUCCGCUUCGCAAAUAAAUAUAAGUACGUAAGAUCAGGAAAGAGCAAUCGAGCUUAUGCUGCUCACCUACGAGGCUACGAUUCGUCAGGAAGCAAAAAAACCAUGCCAGCGUAUUUACGAUGAAAAAAAAUUAAAGCAGCGUGUAAACAAAUAAAGCCAAAAAAUAAACGUAUGUAGUACCAUCAAAAUAAAUCGAAAAUAGAAACGUACGAAGUUCCUAGAUAAAAGCUCGUGCGUUCCAACGGGUAAAGCUAUUUUAAUUUUAUUAUUGGUGUACGGUUUAGCUAUAGUGAAAUUGACAGUGGAAAUUCGCUUGGAUAUUCUUUUUAUAAAAUCACGAGCUACAAUUAUGGGUCUGAUCGUCUCAAAUUAGCAUGCAAGUGUUUUAAAUUGAUUGCUUAUAUGACUCACGUAUUUGUAAAAACAAACAAAAUUAAAAACCGACUCAAACACGGACAUGUAUUUAUAAAAGCGAUUGAACUUAAAAACUGACUCUAAGACAUGUGACGUAUCAAAGUACCGGCAAAAACAUCUUCAAUCUAUGUAUCUAUUAUAUACUAAAAAUCUAUUAAACUUCCUACAAACGCUCUCAAGUCACCACGUGGGACUCCUACAGACGUUCCUAUAUCGCCACACGGCAAUCUAAUAAAUUGGUGGGCCCAUUAUUUCUAACUAUUACAUUUAUAUUUUUUUAAAAAAAAAAGACCCCAUAACCCACCUCUCUCUUCUCUUCUCUUCCCGCACCAGCCCAUCUUUCAAAUUGGUAGACCCAUUAUUUCUAACUAUUAGAUUUAUCUUUAAAAGAAAAAAAAAGACCCCAUAACCCACCUCCCUGUUCUCUUCCCGCACCGGCCCGUCUUUCUAAUAUGUACAUACGUACUUACAUUCCUCCUCCCUCCCCUCCUAUCUAUUCUCCCCUUCUUUCUUUUCUUUAGUAUUAAAAUUCUAAAAAUUAAUAAACUUUAAAUAAAAAUAAUUUACCAAAAAAAUUUAGUCAUGACUUUUAAAUAGAUAUAAAUCUAUUUCUUCUGUAUUACUGUUUCCGUUAAAUAAAUUAGAUGUACGAUGAAAAAAUAAAAAAUAAAUAAAAUGUGAGUAACAUAAAAAAAAUAUAUCCUGACCUUUUGCCAUGCCAUCCCAAUGAUUAAAAGGUAUAUGAAGAAAAUAGAUGAUAUAGAUCAUAUCAUCAUAUAUCACUUAAAAAAUAUAAUUAAAUCUUUUUAUGAAACAAAAUAAUGUUAAUUAAAUCUAUCAUGGAAGUUAUUUUGACAUUAUUAUAUGUUUAAUAUUCAAAGCAAUCUACGGUAGCGCAAAAUAAAAUAUUUUAAUUGUGAUUAGCAUUCAGAAAAAAUAUUAUCAUCAUUCUAAAAUAUCAAUAUCAAUACGUCCAAACAAUCUUAAUAAAUCUGUCAGAAAAAAAAGACUAUAAUACCCCUUAUUAAUUAAAAGGUAUGUAGAUGGUGAGAAGAUGGUUAGGAUAAGAUUGAGUAAACAAUAAAUGUUAGUUGUUUGGAUAGGACAAGUAGUAUUACUCUAAAAUCCCUUAUAUUUUGAAACAAAAUUUAACUUUAUCAGAUUUAUGUGAUGGGGUAUAAAUCUAUCUUUAAUUAGAUGACAUAGUUCUAUUAGCUAUAUGCUUAAUAGAAAAUCUUAAAUAAAUUUAUCCUAAAAUCCACAAAUACAUAGAAAGCAUAAAAGCAAUUAUUACUUAAAGUUUAGAAAUACCCAUAGUACAAAAUAUAUAUAGUUUCAUAGAAACCAACUUCAUGGUGGAGACACAAUAUUUUCUCAAAUUCAAAGUUGCAUGCUUUCACACAAUUUUAGUUUACAAUCUUUUAUAUUGCAAUGGUAAUUAGAAGAAUAUCGAUAAUAACCAACAUUCAAAGCAAUCCCAAAUAAAUUCGAAUAGAGUAGAAAUGAUAUUUCAAUAAAAAAUCACCUACACAUGAACAUUUGUAAUAAAAUUUCAAACAAUUUAACAAGAUGCCCGCGUAUGUGCGCGGGCUACCUUCCUAGUUGAAAUAAAAGAUAAAUAAGGCUAGCAGCAAAUCUCUAAUCUCUUGCCAAAUCCUAUCUUACAGUUAUAACCCACUGCACUAAAUCCUAAAAUUUAACAUAGAAAAAUAUCAUAUCAUCCUCCACUGACAACAAGAUGCCACGUCAUCAUUUACUAACAAUUAUUAUAUUUAAACAUCAUACAAGCAUGUUUUGUUAUCUAUAAUUUUAUAACUUAUUAAAUUUUAGUGCUUUUAAAAUGAAAACAUGUUAAACCAUCAUCCCAUAUAAUCCACAUAAUAUUUCAAUAUAUCUCUUCCUCAGUUUUUAUAAUAUCCUAUAUACCUAUAUAGUUCAUCCUCAAUUAGUUAAUGUGAUUUCUCUCCUCUCAAACUAAAAUUUGACUGGUCGCUAGGGAGGAUCCCAAAACUGCCUUUCAAACUCAUUUUGGCCACUUUUGAAUACAAAGUCAUGUCAUUUUGGUUGACUUGGGCACCUGCAACGUGUCAAGGAGCUAUAAAUGACAUUUUGUCUCCUGUGUUUAGGAAAUAUGCCUUAGUUUUCUUUGAUGGCAUUCUAAUCAGCAGUCCUGAUUAUAAUACUCAUGGGCAAGAUUUGAGGAUAGUGUUGCAGCUCCUUUUGAAUCAUCAGUGGAAGGUAAAGCUGAGUAAGUGUUCUUUUACACAGCAGGAACUUACAUAUAUGGGUCAUACCAUUGGGUUUAAGGGAGGGUCCACUGAUGCUAGUAAAAUCCAAGAUAUUUUGGAUUGGGCAGCACCCACCACUCUCAAGAAGCUCAGAGGCUUCUUGCAUUGUUGGGUAUUAUAGAAGGUUUGUCAGAAAUUUUGGCAUUUUAAGUAAACCUCUAACUAACAUGUUAAGGAAGGGGGUAGACUUCAAUGGACUGUUGAAGCUGAGUUAGCAUUUCAGUCAUUGAAGCAGGCCUUGGUUUCAGCCCCAGUUUUAGCACUCUUUGAUUUUCAGAAAACUUUUGUUAUUGAGACUAAUGCUAGUGAAUUAGGGAUUGGUGUUGUGUUGUCUCAAGACAAAUACCCAAUCGCCUACUAUGUCAGCAAAGCUUUGGGGCCUAGGACCUGAGGUUUGUCGACUUAUGAGAUUAUGUGCUUAGCCAUUUUGUUGGGUAUGGACCAUUGGAGAUAUUAUCUUCAAUAUGCAGAGUUUACUAUCCUUACUGAUCACAAAAGUUUGAUGAACCUUACGGACCAACGUUUACAUACUAGUUGGUAGUAGAAAGCUUACACCAAGUUGUUGGGUUUAAAAUUAAAAUUUUGUUAAAAAAAAGGAUCCAUAAUGGUUUGCGGAUGCUUUGUCCAGGUGUGAUCAUGGAGACACCAUUGACACUUGGUUGGAAGAGGUUGCUCAGGGUUAUUUUCUUUGCUUCCUGUGACAUAUAGAAGAAUGAAAGCAUUGUUUGGUUGGCCUGGAAUGAAGGGAUUUAUCAAACAGCAGGUUAAGAACUACUCCAUUUGUCAGCAAGCUAAACCUGACUGAUAUAAAUAUCCUGGACUGUUUCAGCCUUUACUUGUGGCAUCAGGGGCUUGUCAAACAGUGACCAUAGAUUUCAUAAAAGGGCUUCCAACAUCCAGACGAUUUAAUUGCAUCAUGGUGGUAGUGCACAAGUUGUCUAGGUAUGCUCACAUUUUAGCCUUGGCUCAUCCUUUCUCUGCUCAAGAUGUUGCCCAGCUGUAUAUGGAAGGUGUUUUUAAAUUGUAUGGAUUACCCCUGGCCAUCAUUUCUGAUAGAGACAAGAUAUUUACCAGUCAUUUCUGGGAACAGUUGUUCCAAAAGGCAAAAGGUGGGCACUAAACUACAUUUGAGCACAGCUUAUCACCCCCUUUAUAUACUGCUGAGCUCUAUGCAAAUGUUAGUGUAACAGCUGCUGAGCUCUAUGCACAUCAUCAUUUGAAAACCACUGCUGAAGAUCAGGUAUCUCACAAGAAUCCACACCAAUACCUAGCUGUAGUGGGGUGUGUCCAUAGAGCACAUCAAAAGUAGUUUUGCCCAAAGUGGAAUGAUAACCGGUAUUGUACCAAUAUUCUGCCAAAUACAACCUAGUGGCCCAUUUGGAUGGACAAGAUUGCGUAAAACAACACAAAUAAGUUUCUAGACACUGAUUUACCCUCUCAGUCUGUCCAUCUGAUUUAGUUCAGGCUGAUAAAAAAAUGCAGCUUCAGAGCUUUUGCAGUUGGGGACUGGGUGUACUUGAAGUUAGCCUUAUGUCCAAUCUUCAGUUGCUCUCUAAUACUCUGGUUAGUUCCCUGAGAGGACAAAGCAUGGAAAAACUGAAAACUUGAACUGUCAAAGAAAGGAAAUGAAUAUAAAAGAAGAAUGUUAUUGUUGAAAUUCAAAGCAAUAAAAUUAGUAACAUGAUUGCAGGUUUGAAUUACGGAUCAGCAGGACUAUUAUAUUUGAUUCCACAUUUUCUCCGCCGUCACAAGUAAACAUAUCUACUAAAAAAAUUGUAAGAUUUGUCAGCAUUAUGAAUGUAGUUUCCUGAAAUUGGGCUCUGCCAUUUGCAGAACAGGACAGGCUGCCAUUUUCAUCACACAGAUCACAUUCAACAAAACGUAUCAAAGAUCGCAUAUGCACGGCAAGGAGCUCAGUUUUCCUCGCAUGAUUAUUUAAUGUGGCAACAACACCAACAUGUAUUGUCUGGGUAGACAAGUGAAAUUGUACACAUACUUACUGUACAGCAGAAACCCACAUAGGUUUAGAUAAAAAUAACAUACCAGGUCUGUCAUUUCAGCCUCAACUUUCUCAUUGCUUGGCACAAGCGGAGGCCUCAACUUUGCCAUUGCUUGGCACAAGCGGAGGACUAAUAGAGUUCCACUGCUCUGAAAUAGCAUGGACACAGGUUUAGAAAAAUUGUAAUUGAAUAACAGCUCAUUAACCCAUUACAUAUAUAAAGAAAACAAAAGAGUAGUUAGGUUCUUGUUCCUGGAACAAGUCUAGCGUGCAUAAAUUAAAGGAAAAGAAAUGGACAUAAAUGCAACAGAAUUCUUGUCUCGUGAUAUGUAAGAGGAAAUUGAAUUUCAGUUGUACCCUCACUAUUUGAAUUUGUGAAGAGAAUUGUAAAUAUGCUACAUGGGGGACAUUUUGAAACUGAAAACGGCAAAUGAUGUACUAUUGUUGUAUAUACUUAUACAUCUCAAUUGUGCAAAAAUGAACAAUUCUAUAGCAUACAACUAAUAGUAAGAUCUUGAUAAAAAGAUACUUCUCGUAGGCAUAAAUAUUCACCGGUCUUGAAUUGAAAAUUAGGAGAAACAAAACUAAAAAUGCAACACAAUUGUCCUGAGUUUAUCAACUAGCACCAGUAAGCAAAUGGUUGCAACUUGCAAAAGGCAUGCUGUGAAUUUUGGUCCCACCUCCAACAUGGGCAUUAGCAGCUCUCUUCUAUCCCCUGAGCUUUGCAUCAACCAUGCCUCUCGGCUGUCACAGCUGAUGCGCAAAAUGAGGUGAACCAGAUAAUCCCAGAGAAGCAGAUGGCUCCUCUACAUCAAUUCAUCUUGAAUCUUCAAGCGCAGGUCCGCAGUCUUCUCAAGCAGCCAUGCAUUACAUUUUCAAUGCACUUGCCCUCAGCUCAUGCCGCCUACCAAGCAGGAAAUCGGGUUCUCUGAAUACCUCUCUUCCGGCAAAAGAAGUAUGAUCACCAUCAAACAAUGGAAAUCAAGCCAAGCCAUUGAUCAUAGCAACUCAGCCAUAGGAGCGCUUGUCACUCCCUCAGAGACAGGGAAUCUAUACUGAUGUGGUUGAGAAAUUCAGUGCAGCCUAUCAAGCAAAUCUGAGCACAUUGGCAGGGACAGGUGAAUGAAAUCCAGCCAAAAAAAAGAAAGAUUGAAAACAGAAGCGACUAACAAAGGCCUCUCUGCCUCUCGUGUGCUUGUCGCUCUUCAGAGUUCAGACCAUAGAGAUGCCAGCCCGAUGGUCCGCGUCGCGCGCCUUGCCCUCCCCACGCGGCCGGCGGAGGCGGCGGAGGAUGGCGAGCGCGACGGCGGCUAGCGUGGCGCCCACGAGGUCAGCGGCGGCGUCCCUGAGGGAGGCUCCCGAGGACCCGAAGAAACCGGCCUCGUCGGCGAUCUCCUUGGCGGCCCCCGCGGCGAGGGAUGCGGCGCAGCCCAGGGCGGCGGGGCGGCGACGGAGCGGGGAUCUCGAGCUGCGGCCGGCAAGCGCGGCGCCGGCGAGGGCGAUGAGGAAGCAGGCGAGAACGUGCUGCAGCUUAUCGGCAGCCAGCCACUCAUCGGACCACUCCAUCCGCCGCCGCCGCCGCCGAUGAUUCGGUGUCGGACUGACUGUCCGUGGCCGAUGAUUUCUUGUUGACAGUUGACUGGUCCGCCCUCCCCACGGAAGAAAAACAAAAUGAUAUUAUGCCAUUGUCACAGUGGGUGUCGUCAAAACGUAAUUAUUCGAUAAAAAGUAGUAUUUUUAAAAAUUUCAUAUACUUCUUCUGUUUUUUAACUUUUGACGUGACAUCUAACCUAUGUUACCCUGAUACGGGGAUACGGAUAUGGAUACGCGAUACGAGGAUACGACAAUUUUUAGAAAAGGAUACGGGGAUACGUUUGUAUAUAUAUAUAUUAUAUAUUAUAUAUAUAUAUAUAUAUAUAUAUAAAUACAAGAAAUUAUAAAUUGAAUUGGGAUAUUGUAGUAUUAGUGUAGCCGAUUGGUGAUUACAAUGUAGCAAUCUUCUCCAUUUUCCUCUUGUAGCUAAUUCACGCUGAUUAAGCCCAGACUACCAGCUUCCAAUAAUUCAAACAAAAAAUCAACACAUACACGUUUAUAACUAAAAGAUUAAAUAACUGAUGAAUCUGUUGGAGCAUUAGCCGCCGAACUACCACUGGAUUGCUAGAUGUACUAGGGCCUGAAAACUUCCGGUUCCGGUUCCAAAAUCCAUUGGAUCUUUUAAAACAAAAAGAUAGGUAUUGUUGUGCCAAUAAAAUAAGGACAUUGCAGUCUUGCAGAUUCAUUCAAGAAAAAAAAAAGAAGAGGGGAUUUAUCAUUUAUUACCUCACAUGGGGAACAAAGGAAAGAACAGCUCGGUUGUGAUGGAGCUUUGCUCGGCAUCAGAGACGCUGCGGCGGCCCUAACCCCUGGCAGGGUAUGACGGCUGUCGGUAGAGAUGUUGCCUAGCUGCGUCUGGUGGCGGCGGCCUUGCCUGAACAGGGAGGUUCUACACACUGAGAAUGGCGCAGGAGGAGAGAAGCUACUGAGGCUACAAAGGUGUUGCAUCCGCCGGCAGCGUCGGUGUCGGCGACGGCGUGUGUGAGUGCCGUCGGGAGAGAUAGCAUAUGGAAGCGGCGGAGAGACAGCAGAUGGAAGCGGCGCCUACAUCGCUUGAUUUGGAGGGCGUCGCAAGUAUCCGCUACGUAUCGGAAAUUAUCUUUUUUAUUUGAAAAUCGCUAUAAUAGUGGAUACGUACGGGAUACGUAUCCGGCGUAUCCGUUCGCAUAUCUGAUACGGAUACGCGGGGUGAGAGCCGUAUCUAGGUAACGUUGUGUCUAACUAUUUAUCCUAUUAAAAAAUAUAUAAAUACAAUUUAUUUUGUUAUAACAUAUUUUACCAUUUAAGAACAUUAAGAAUAGCUUAUAUUUUUGACAUAUUUACUCUAGCUUUUAAUAAGAUGAAUGGUCUAAUAUUAUUCUAAAAGUCAAUGACUUCAUAUAUUAAAAAAUAUAAACAUGAUUAUAUAAAGUUAAAUUAAAAUUGCAUGAAUCCAUCUCUAUGCGCGUCCCAGGGGCCCGUGCGGGCCGUGCGACCGAACAGGGCCCUAAAUUUUAAGGGCCCCUAAAAUAUUAAUUAUGUCCUAUAUAUAAUAAUAUUAGAGGCUUUAAUUUUGUUAAUUUGCCGUCCAAAUAGUAGCAAACACAAGGCCCAAAAUGCUGCAGAAGGUGAAUCGAUCCAUCUUCCAUCGUACUCCCGUCCAGGCAUCCGCGUCAUCGCGUAUCGCCGAUGUCACGCCCGAAAAUUCACUAAUAAUUUCCGAAUUAAUUUGUGCAUAAAAUCCUCGUCCAGGAAUCAGCCGAGGUACACAAACUGACAAUUUAAUAUACAAAUCCAUCAUAAUAAUAACGUUACAUACUUACAAAAGAAAAGAAAAACAGCAGCGGAAUUAACGGUCUAGCGAUGGCUUCAGCUUCACUCCCACAAACUCAACUGGGGUAUAAUCCAAAUGUCUUCUCCUUCUGAAUCCUUUUUCUUCAACUGAGGUUGAUUGAUUAUUACAAGAAUGAGCAUAUGACAUACUCAACAAGCCACACAGCAAAUAUGCAAAGUGCACAAGGAUACCAAAGGAUGGCAUAAUAUAGUCUCAUUUGUGAAAGCAGCAUUUAGCAAAGAGUUAAGAGUAGUAAAACAGUAGAGUAAUUAAUCAGAAAUUUUAAUCAACACUGAACAGCACACCUAUGCUGCACAGGUCCAACCAUCCUGAACAACCAUACCCGGCUGUACAGAUCUAACUCCAAACCAAGAGCUAAACAAAUUAUUACCAGUUAUAGCAUCAAUAAUUAUUGUGAGAGGCAUGAGACUAAUCACGAAAAAUAUUGCUCAACUCGCCCAUAACCGCGGGCACGGCUAUUCGAAUAGUUUUACUCUGGCCAGAGGUGUACCACUGUACCCACAAGACACAGCCUCAACAUCAUAUCUACCAUGCGUCGCGAUACUGGAAAGUAGCCGAAUAGAGGCUGUGACAAUAUCCUCUGCACAACACAACUCACCACAGUGCACCAUUCCUGGAUCAUAAUCACCCCCUUAUAAAACAAGGCAUGGACUCCCCAGCGACCCCCGUGGGCUUAUCUCCGCCACUUCUCAGUCUAGUGCUCCGCAAUGAACCAUGCUAUACAAAAGGUAAAGCCGUUGCCCACGCUGGCUUGUGGUUGGCACGGUUAAUGUUUCACGACAGUAGCUCGCGAACCGGUCCUUAAUUGCCAUGAGCACGACCUUCAAAACCAUGUGCUCACAACCCACCAUUAAUCAUAUUUUAAUUACCAAUUAAUUAUCAUAACACGAUUAACCAUCGUGAGCUACCAUUAAAAAUAAACAUAAAUAAUAAUGUAGUAUAUAUGAUUCAUCCCAUUAGUGUGCUAAUGUUUCUAAGCAUGGCUAAGCAAUUAUAUAUAUAACAUUUAGCUGAACCAAACCAAUACAUAAGGUUCAAGCUAAUCAAUUUAUUACCCAAGGUAUUAAGGAAUAGGGCAUUCAAUGCAAAUUGGCCAUAACAAAGGAAUAGGUUCACAUCACCCGGUGACAUUCGAAAAUAAAUGCACAGUUGAAAUAAAUAGAGAAUUUAAAUAUAGGAUCAACAUGCUCAAAGGAUUGUGUUUAGGAUCUGUGUGACUUGCCUUGCAAUAAUCGAUCUUCAAUUAAUCUUCUGAACACUCCCGACGCACUCACGAACCUUCGCAACGACGGAAACGACAAGCUAACACGCAAAACGAAGAAAAAGACUAAUAAAAACCAAAUAAACAGUAAAAAACAAGCAUAAACAGUACAUAUAAUGUAAACAAACAUAUAGAUCAUGAUUUUAGAUGAAUUUAGCAACUUAAACCACUCAAAACCGAGUUACGAUGAUUUAGUUAUGAAUUUCCGAAGAUUUAAUCUAUUAAAAAAAACUGAAAAAGAGGAGAUGAUGAUGUCAUGAUGACGUCAUCGACGGCAGCCACGGACGGGUGGCGACCUCGCCGGAGCUAGGGUGGUCGGCCGGACUUUUGGAGGACACCUACGCGUAGAGGACAACAUUGCGAACUCAAUGGUGCUCACCGAUACGACAAACGACGACGGACGACGGCCGGCGGCGAGGUGGACGGCGGCGGCGGCUUCGGUCGGCGGUGGCGCCGGAGCUGCGGUGGCCGGCGGCUUCGGGGGUCAGGCGGCCGGGCUUCUCCACCCUCCCGCGCACCUAACGGUGGUGACGGCGACCGGCGGCGACGACGGAGGCGGCGGCGCGACGCGGAUGGAGCUCGGCCGGCGACGAUGGCGGGGUGGAGCACGUGGCGGCGGCGCUACGAGGCACGGGAGAUCACGGGAGAGGGGGCAAACGAAAGAGGAGGACUAGGGGGUCCUAUUUAUAGCCUUGGAUUGAAUAGAUCGGACUCCUCCCGCAAGAAAUCGCUCCGGGAAAUCAAAAACUCGGUUUUGGAGAUAAACUCAAAACGAGUUCGAUUCGGAUAAAAUACUCAACGAUUUGCUCCGAUUUUUGGGGGUAAGGAUAGAGGAAGAUGAGAGGAUAAAAACCCCUCAAAAAAAGGGAAGAAAAGGGGAGAGAUUGGGGCGGAUUCGGCGCGGCAAGGCGGCUCGGCAUGGCAGCCGACUCGGUUCGGCUGGCGGCUGGAGCUUGAAGACGCACUGUAGCGACAGGGAGGUAAAGUAGACUUCCUGCCGGGCUUUUCUUUUCUCAGCCUGAUUAGAAGAGGGAGCAAAACCGGACUUUGGCUGAGAGAAGAAGAGAGGAUGCAGGCUCGGGUUGGGCCGGCGGAAGAGAGAGGAAGGAAAGGAAUGGGCCGAUUCAGCCUAAGACAAGGGAGGAGAAUUUUAUUACUUUUCCAAUUAAAAUAAUCACUUAAAUGAUCUUUGAAUUGUUAAAAAUACUUCCAAUGCUCAAAUAAUUUCAAGAAAAAUCCUGAAAAUACUUGGACAAUCAAAGUACCUAAAAAUUAUAAUUAGACCAUUUAAUGAUUAAUUUAAUAUGUGGGUAAUUACUGAAAUGUUCUUUGUAUGAUUAAAAUUAGGAAUUGAGCUCCGAAAAAUCCGAGAAAAUUCCAGAGAGUAUAAUUAACCAUGAAGAAUUUAAUAAAAAUUAAAUCCAUCCAUGCUUUAUAUUUAGGAAAUUUUAUUUCCCACAUUUAACUUCACUUGUAAAUUAAUGAAUAUUUAAUAUAAAUUCUAAUAAUAAUUUAUUAAAUACUUUAUAAAUCCUGAAACGAAAUUCAGGAUGUGACAGCUGAAGUCCCGAUGCCGCAGCCGCUUCGUCUCCUCUCCCCAGUUCCCUCCGGCCUCCGCUUCUGCUUCGUCGCUGAUGAUCGGCUAAUCGCCACGCCCGUUUUUAAUUUUACUAUAAAAAAUUUACUAGGCUACGAGGGCCCAUUUUAAUAUUUCGCACGGGGACCCGAUUUGGCCGGGACACCCCUAGUGUUGAGAAUGAAUUUAUUUAAAAUUUUAGCAUGUGUUUAUACAGUUUUUUCAUUAUUGAGUUACUCUCCCCAUCUACUUUUUGAUCGUCAUAUUUUGGCUUGACACUGCGACCAAAGAAGAUAAACACGAUUAUAACUCAUAAGCCAAGGCUUGCAUGCCUUGGCCCACAAUUAAAGCUGGCUGCAUGCGACCGUGACGCUUCAGCUCCGCAAAAUCCUUCGCCAAACCGUUCGGAUUAGUAGCACUCGCAAUCGCGCGAAAUGUUUUUUGCCGCGCCAAAUUUUCGCUCACCUACUCGCAAUCCGUUUUGUCGCUCGCUGAAAACGGAUGGGGUAUUGCCCGGGCAAAAUUCAAAAAUUGAACUUCACAUGUUCAAUGGCCCUACAUAAGCAGCGAUGUGACGACGGCAUACACCGAGAUCAGUUUUCAAAUCUUCUCCUCCCUGCCUCUACCACACACAAAGCUGCAGAUGAUUAAUGGCGGCACAGUUGUUAGACCUCAAUCUUGAGCCUCCCAUAGAUUGGGAUGCCAUUGGCGAUUGGGUUGGACCGGCUCAUGAACUUGAGUAUGACAUGGUGUAGGCUCAUAUGAAGGUACUUAUCUAUGUGUCUUUGUUUUUGGUUUAGGAACCUAUAGUUUUGGUAUGAAUCAGUUACAAAAUUCGUUUGUGAUCUCUUAUUAUUUGUGCUAUCGUAGGUGUUGAUGCCGCCGGAGAUGGAGGUACUGCCGCCCAAGAUGGAGGCGAAGGAGAUGCCGCCGCCGGAGAUAGAGGUACUGUUGUUGGAGAUGGAGGUACUGCCGCCGGAUAGCUUUUGUUUUUAGUUUCUGUUUUUGCCUAGCUCUCUGCCUAAAUGAUCUGUUCAGCGAUUAUAGUUCAAUGAGUAUAGGUUUAUCAUUGCAAAACAUCUUGUCUGCAAAAAUCUGAAAAUAGUAGGUACAGAUUCACUAUUUGUAUCGAUUGCAUCUUUUUUAGAAUGACUGUAUUUUUCAAGCAUACUAUGUAGUCUUCUUGAAUUUAGCUUAAAUCAUGAAUUUAGCUUACCACGGACAUAUAUAUCCUUCAAUCAUGAAUUUAGCAGACAACCCUAUCCUUCAAUCAUGAAUUUAGUUUCAAUUUACCACGGACAUAUAUAUCAUGUCAAGUCUUCUUAAAUUACUACUAGUACCAACCUGAAAAUAUUAGCAACAGACUCAAUAUUUCUAUGGAUUGCAUAUGCUUUCAGAAUUAGACUGUCUUUUUCCAGUAUUUGUAUGGAUUGCUACUGGCCACAUCAACAGCAACGAUGUCCACGGCGACUUGGGUAUCAGGAACUUCCGUGUCGCCGGCAAAGGAGUCCUCCACGACAUGAACCUCAUCGGAAUCAUAGAAAAUCGCCUCGCAUGCAGCCACGGCGGAAUCGAGCUCGCUCUCGGGGACAGUAACUGCGGCACCAUCGAGCUCCAUCUCGGCCACAGCCACGGCGGCAUCGAGCUCGCUCUCGAUCACAUCAACUGUAACAACAUCAACUGUAACAACAUGGAACUCCAUCACAGCCAGCGGUAGAAUUGGAGGUGGUUGUCGCGCGCGUGCGGUAGAAGAGGAGGCGGUUGCCGCUCACGGUAGAAUAGGAGGCGGUUGCCGCGCGGUAAAAAACGAAUCCGUUGCCUCGCGCGGUAGAAAAGGAAGGAGCGAUUGAUUUCCCGAGGACGAAUUAACUCUGCAAGAAAACUGAAUCGGCGCGCAUGUGGGAACCGAGAAAUCUGACACAAAUGUGACGAUCAAAACUGUAAAAUCGAUUUUCUGAAAUGUGACGAUCAAAAGUAGAUGAAGGGAGUAUUAAUCAAGUUGAUACCUUAAAUUCACCCUACUUGGAAAGAUAAUGUUUCAAAUGUGCUGAAAUUAAUCGAGAUUUAAAUAAAGGUGAGGGUUUUGAGACAUUUAGGGUGUGUUAUUUUCUCCAAUUUUCCAACUUCUAUUGUCCUGUUACUUGUAGAAUGCUAUAUUGGUCAAAAAUAUCAUUGGGUUUCUUCCACAGCUUCUUCCGUUACUACACUGGUCUGUUUGUCAACCAUGGCGGGGAAUGAGGAACCUCGCAUGUGUUGAAGGGGUGUGGCAUGCACCAAGUAGAGAGCCGAUGAGUAGUACCACUCGUGCUCCGCAAUGCCUACUCACUGGUAUGCUCACCACCACUUUAAGACUGUGUUUGUUCAAGUGGGUUGGGAACUCAUUCCCUCUGCACAGAAAACGGAGCCACACAUUUUCUUAUGAUUAAUUAAGUAUUUGCUGUUUUUUUAGAAAAAAUGGAUUAAUAUAAUUUUUUAAAGCAACUUUCAUAUAUAGAAAACUUUUUUUAAAAAAUACACAGUUUAACAGUUUGAAAAGCGUGCGCGCGAAAAAACAAGAGAGGUGAGUUGGUGAAAGAACUCAGCCUAGAAGCAAGCAAGACAGUCUUCCUCUCUAGCGCACAAUCACAUGUAGGACUUCAUUGUUUCGCUUAUUGACGGAAUAAGCGAAACAACAUAUUUGCAAACGGAAAAUAAUUUGUAAAUAAAACAUUUAUAUACGUGUUCUUAGCGAUCUAAAAGUAAAUGCUGAAAAACAAACUACGAUGAUAAAACCCCAAAAUUAAUUUCAAAUUUAAGGUUGAAAAUUUAAAUUUUGGUUUAUAAACAUAUGCAUAAGCCAAAAGAUAAGACUUGUAAUUUUCGAUAAAAUCCAUCGCAUCAACUCACCAAGCGACAUUUUGGCGAAACCAACUUUUCACUAUGACAUUUUCGCAUGAAAACCGAUGGAGUCCAUCGCAUCAGCUCACUGAGUGGCAUUUUGGCGGAACUAACUUUUUCACUAUGGCAUUUUUUUUUUCUUGUGAAAAACCGACGAGAGGAAGAAGAGCACGAGACGUUGGAUUUUGAUCCAAGGGUCGUCGUCGUCGUCGUUAGUCUAAUGAUUGAUUAGGAAGGAAAGUACUCCAGCAUCCCCCUAAUGAAUCGCGUCAAAAUCCCCGCCGCCGCGCCGCCGACGACUGGCCGCCGGCGCCGCCGACGAUGAAGGAAGGGAGCGACUCGUCCUCCGGCGUCUCCUCCGGAUCUGGCACCGCCAUGGCGUCUCCUCGUGCGUUCCAGCGCAGGUGGGCCCCCGCGGACGAGAUCUCGCUCCUCGAGGCCGCCGCCUCCCACCGCCAGCGGCACGGAGGGAUGCCGUCGCCGGGCGACCUUGCCGCGGCCCUCCGUGGCCGCCUCCUGACGGAGGACCACCACCUCGACGCCCGGGCGGUCUCCCGGCAGCUGGCCUCUCUCCGCCGCCGGUACGCCGCCGCCUGGAGGCGGCUCUCGUCCCGCGGCGUCGUCCCGGUGAAGGACCACGACCUCAGGAUCUACAGGCUCUCCAAGUCGCUCUGGGAGGGCAGCCGCGGCUGCGGCGCGAGGAAGCCCAUCGCGCGCCACGAAGCGAGGGAGCUCGGGGAGCUGGAAGCGCUGUACCCUUGCCUCUCCGCGGAGGUGGAGGCGGUCGAGGCGAGCCGUCUGUGCGCCGUCCCCGGGGUGUUCAGGAGGUCGUUCCGGCGCAUCGGCGACGAGAAGGCGGCGGAGCUGGAGGCGAAGGCGAAGAGGCUGCGGCUGGCUGAGCUCAAGGUGGGCGUGCGGCUCGACAUGCUGCGGAAGGAGGUCGCAGAGACGAUCUUGGAGCUCAUCGACUGAUCAAACUCAUUUUCAUUGGAUUUUGCUGAUAUAUCAUGCCUUGAGCUUGGCAAUUGGGGGAUGGUUUGAUGCCGGAAGAGGUACGAGGUUCCCAUUUCUUUUGUGGGAAAUUUGAGGGUAGCAAAAGCAUCAGUUGAACUCGUGAGAAUGUUAGGAAUUUGGUGGUAUGCGGCGAAUCAGUAGCGGUCGCUGCAGAGAUAUAGGAUGCCUACCUAACCUACCAGUCUGAAUCAUUACCUGUGAUGAAUGAAAACAUGAAGCUGUUCUGGUAAAAUCAUAUCAGGUUAAAUUUUGCAAAACAUGGCUGGCACCGGCAAAGAGAAGCAUAUUUCCCCAAUUCCCAUAUUUGCAGUUCGAUAUAUCAGCUUCUUUCAUUUCGAUGGCAAUGCUCUGCAUUGUACACCAAUUUACAUUAACUGAGGAGGUAGCUGGUGAAGAACUUGACAAAAUUAAGUGAUACGGGAAGGAAAUUAAGUUGCUGGAAUAAAAUGGAUCUUCUUUUUAGAAGUAUUCUAUUUAUCUUUAGUUUCGCCUUUUUGUUAUUUUUAAGAUUAUUUCUGGCUAUGACAGUUAAAGACUAUGUGUAUGCACCUUUUCCUUUUGUCGGUCAGUCAGUAGUUUCUUCCUGGAUUGUCAGUUAUGAUGCGGUUAACUCUCGCUUGUUUUAUCAUGGGAAAUAUAAUUAUGUUAUGUUUCCAGUUCUAUACCUUUUUCUGAUUAUAUGUAGUGAAUAAUAUGAACAGAAACUGGAAUAUACUAUGUUGGAAUGUAAGAGGUAUCAAUUCUGAAGAUAAAUGGCUGGUCAUCAGAAAUAAGAUUGAGGAGAGUAGUUGUGUUGUUUUCUGUCUACAGAAACCAAGAGGCAAAAUUUUGAUCAUUCUAAUGUCAAAAAGUUUGCAACCAAGCGCUUUGAUUCUUUCGUUUUUUUUCCCCUUCGGUUGGACCUUAUGGAGGAAUCCUAGUUUGCUGGGUUGGAUCUUUGUUUUCCUAUCGGACCUUACAUGUUCAGCGCCUUAUAGUUUCUGUGCAAUUCACUUUCCUGCAUUCUGCUGAAACUUGGUGUCUUUCUUCUGUUUAUGGGUCGUGCACUGAGCCACAUAGAAUUGAAUUCAUUGAGUGGCUGCGUGAUCUUCAUAUCCCUGAUGAUACAAGCUGGAUUUUUCUAGGGGACUUUACAUAACAGAAACAGAGAUGGUGCAAGCAUGAAUGAUAUGGUGUUUUCGAUGAAGUUAUUAGUAAUCUGGGUUUGAUAGAAUUACCAAUCAACGGCAGAUCUUACACAUGGAGUAAUAUGCAGGAAAAUCCUCUUCUGCAACAGCUUGAUUGGUUUUUUAUAACAAAUUUCUGGACAGAGAACUUCCUAGGCACUAUAGUCAAGCCACUGGCCAGAUGUAUUUAUGAUCACACUCCAUGCUUAGUGCAGAUUGGUACUUCAAUCUAUAAGGCUUCCAUAUAUUCAGAUUUGAAAGUUUUAGGGUAGAGCACGAUGGUAUUUUUGAACUAGUCAAUUUUAUACGGAGAAAUCAUGGUUGCUUGGAUGAUGAAGCAAAGAAUAUUACAGUUAAAUUUAAGAGUGUGAGAAAGGCACUCACAAAAUGGAGCAAAGGGUUGUCAAACUUAAAUAAGCUGGUCAAAAACUGCAAUUCAGUGGUGAAUUUUAUUGACAAACUAGAGGAAUGCAGAGACUUAACUGUGACAUAAUGGAAUUUGAGAAAACUGAUAAGGACAAAGACUCGGACAUAUCUAAGGUACAAACAGAUAUACUGGCAGAAAAGAUGCAAUAUUAGAUGGGUUCAGUUAGGAGUUGAAAACACAAAAUCUUUUCAUGCAGCUGCUACAUAAAGCUACAGGAGAAACUUAAUAACGCACUUCAAGGUUCAAGAUGGAAGAGUUGUGACUGAUCACAAUGAAAAGGCUUCCAUUGUAUGGAGUGCUUUCAAACAAAGUAUGGAAGUUUCUACCAACUCAAUCGUGCACUUUGAUCUAGCAUCUUUGAUAGAAUCUCAUGAUAAUUUAGAAGAACUGUCCAACAGUUUCACUGUCGAUGAGAUAGAGGACAAAGCACCAGGGGCUGAUGGAUUUAAUGGUUUAUUAGUGCUGGCCAAUCAUACGACAAGAUUUUUAUGCUUUAUGUGCUCAGUUCUGUAAUGGUAGUUUAUCCUUGGAAAGCCUAAAUACUUCUCUCAUUACCUUGGUGCCCAAGAGGCAGAACCCUGAAGGAGUAAAUGAUCGGCCAAUCUCUCUUUUGAGUAUAUUGCUUUAAAGCUAACUACUAAUGUGUUAGCUGACAUGUAACAAGCAACAAUUAUCCCUAUUUUGCAUCAGAAUCAGUAUGGUUUUAUAAAAAAUAGGACAAUACCAAAUUGUUUGGCCUGGUCUUUUGAAUACAUAUGUUAGUGCAAGAAGCAAUUAUCCUUAUUUUGCAUAAGCAUUAGUAUGGUUUUAUAAAAAAUAGGACAAUACAAGAUUGUUUGCUCUGGUUUUUGACUACAUAUAUCAGUGCCAGAAAUUGAAGAAAGGGAUUAUUCUUCUAAAGUCCGCGUUCGUUAGUCCAACAAGGAGGUGAUUAAGAUUAAGAUUUUCGUGGCACGCUUUUCAAACUGUUAAAUGAUGCGUUUCGUGCGAAAACUUUCUAUAUGAAAGUUACUCUAAAAUAUCAUAUUAAUCUAUUUUUCAAGUUUGUAAUAAUUAAAAAUCAAUUAAUCAUACGUUAAUACCACCUUGUUUUGCGUAAAAAAACUUAAUCUUCAUCUUCAGGAGAAAAGAACACCACCGGCUUAGUUAACCGUAGGAUAUAAGAGAUAUGCCUUAUAUGUAACCCUGACAGUAGGCCCCGACUUCAAUUUAAAUGAAAUCUCGUUGUCAUCCGCGACUUCCCUGCCAACAUCAUCGUUCUCCUCUAGUCGUUCUCAACAGAAGUCGAAAAGACACUGAGCCUCGAUGGAGCCGGAAGAAGUUCAACGGUCCACAAGAGGGUUUCUUCGAUUAGGAAAAUUUUCAGCUCAGCUUCUUCGUAUGUUCUUUCUUAAUGGUGUUAUAGGAAAGAGCUUUGUUUGCAAAAGAGGAGUGGGACAAGUGUUUACACCUAAAUUUGGUACCUAUGGACGAAAUAGGGGAAAUUGCCAAAGUUUGGAAAGUGACGGGUUUCCUUCAUAGGGCCGGUCAGACCACAGGUAUGUGGGCGGUCUGACCGGCUAGUAGGGCCGGUCUGACCGCAGGUAUGUGGGCGGUCAGACCGUCAGGGUCCGAGUCCGAGUUUGUUUUCAUCGGGUCUCAGGUUUCCUUACUCGGGAAGGCAGGUUUCGUGUUUCCUUUGGUUUCUAUCUCGAGUUGGACGUGGAGAAGGGCCUGUAGAGGGCAAGACCAACCCCUAUUUAAGGGACAAGGCCGGUUCAUUGUAAAACCCCCCGAAUACAAUCUACUUGAAUCGUUCUUUUACUAUGUUUUCUAUUUUACCCUAGUUUUAGUCCAUCUUUGUCUGUUUGUGCCGUAAACCGUCCGCCGCCGCUGCGAGAGUGCGACACCUCUUUGUAGGGUUAUCCUGAAAACCUUCCGUUUUGCCCACGAGACGGGUAGUUAUCCUCAUAUCGAUCUAAAUCGGCCUAGAGGCUGAUUUUGAUCUCUAAAUCGGCUCCACUAGCCGGUUUAGUUGUUUUUUCUCAAAACCCAUCUUGAUUUGGCCGUUUGGCUAGAUUGAGGUGGUUGGCGACUCCAUAUCACCGCAAGGCGUUUAGGUGUUGCGAUCGUGCUUGUCGACUUGUCAAAAAAGUUGCCAACACGAUUUUUGGCGACUCCGCUGGGGAAUCGAUCUAUUCAGCCCUCUUACAGCCGAAUUUGAUUGUCAAAUCGAGAGUUUCGGACAAACAACCGAAAUUAAUCUACACCGCUGCCAUUGCUAGUUCCUUUGCCGAGACGCCGAAUCAAUUUAUUCGUUAUCAAAUCGGAAUACAUCUACUGCCGGUUUACUGUUUCGUGCUAUUGUCGUUGCUGUGGCCGGUUGCAGCUAUCUAAUCUACCAUCAAAAUACCUGGCAACGGAAAGGAGCAGCAGCAGGCCACGGAAUCCAAGCCGCCGAGCAGGAGCAGCUGGUCGUAUACGUAUUACUGUGCAGCACGGCAAGAAAAUUUGGAUUUUGAUUCAAUUCGGUUUGCUGAAUAUACGUGUUCUAAAAAAAAAUCAGGCUACCAAAGCCGAUUUACAUACCGAGAGACAAGCGGUAGUACCUAGUUUCGGUCUCAGCUUCUUGCUGUACAGGGUGACCGAAAAAGAAAAGAAAUAUCAAAGCCGAUUCAUUUGUAUCGGUUGUUUUUACUAAGAAAAUCAAAACCGUAUAUUAAUUUAUUCGGUCAAAUAUUUCGGCUAUGAGCUAUAUGGCCGGAUUUAAUCAAGGAAUUUCUUCAUCAACUAUGACGAGCGGGAACGGAUUCAACAAUAUUACUACACAAUACAUCAGGACCGAUCAAAGCGUCAUGAGAGGAAACGUCCCGCUACCUCAAGUUGUAAUUUCACCAGAGGUAACCCUCGAUUCGCCCAACCCGUCUUUUGCUAUUCAAAACGUUAAUAAUCUUUGUGUAGAUGCAUAUGCUACUUCUAGUUUUGCUCCUAUAUAAUAUGCUUAUAAUGCUGGGGGGUCAAUGGGUGAUUAUACAGCCGAUUACACAGGAAUCGGCUAUAUGCAAAACCGAGCUGACAGUAUGACCGGUCGUGACACUGGUCUAACCGCAUCCUUUGCCGGUUAGACCGCGCCCACCAUGGCCGGUCAGACCGUGUACUACGCCGGUCAGACCGUGCCUACCAUAGCCGGUCAGACCGUGCCCUAUUCUGGCCAGAUCGCGCCUCCUGUGGCCGGUCUAACCGCACCACUGACCACCGGUCAGACCGGGCCAUGGGCCGGUCAGACCGGUUCCCUGGGAGUUUCUCCAGGUUUUCAUACCACGACUAGCAGUACUGAUUUUAAUUAUUAUUCAUCACUUGUUAAUACUGUUAGUCAUGCUAUUCCACAUAUCCCUAAUGCCUACAAUGAUAUUAAUAGGGGGUAUCCUCCCGAUACUAGGUAUGGCCAAUAUAACAAUAUUGUGCUGCAACAACCACCUUUUAGGCCACCAAGUCCACCACCAGAUCCACCAAGGCCUGAAACUGUGGAGGAUAGGUUUAGAAAUAAUAUCAUGGAGAAUUUCGCAAAGCUAAGGAAUCGUGCUAGGGAGAAUCAAAAGCCGUAUCCUGAUUUGAUUUUUAUGACAUUAUCCCAUAUCCUCGUGGUUAUAAAAUUCCUGAAUUUACCAAGUUUAGUGGUGAGGAUAGUAGGACCACAUGGGAGCAUGUAGAUCAAUUUUUAGCGCAAUGUGGUGAGGCUAAUUGGGAUACAUGUAAAUUUCGCUUGUUUUCUUUAUCUUUGUCCGGUACUGCUUUUACAUGGUUUACUUCUUUACCGGCAAAUUCUAUUUCUACUUGGGCUCAAUUAGAACAAAUAUUUCAUGAUUAUUUUCACACUAAUGAAACUGAGCUUAGGUUGUCUGAUUUAACAUCGGUUAGACAUAAAUACAAUGAAUCUGUUGCUGAUUAUAUUGAAAGGUUUAGAGAUAUUAAAAGCCGAUGUUUCAAUUUGAAAAUAACUGACAAAGAUUUGGCCGACAUUACAUAUGAUGGAUUGCUUGAUUCUAUUAAAGAGAAAUUGAAUGGCCCGAUAUUUCUUGAUGUUGAUCAUGUGUUGCAUGAAGCUCUGGCUCAGGAAAGCCGAGUGGAUGAUAAUAGCUUACAAGCUAGUUUAGAUGAAAAUGCAAUAUCAUGUAUAGCCGAACCAAGCGAUGGUUCAGAUUGUGCUAAUAAUUUGUGCAAUGAUGCCAUAAUGAGUAUAGCCGAACCAAAAGUUGGUUCGGAUUGUCUUGCUAGUUUGGAUAAUAAUGCAACAACCAUUAUAGCCGAACCAAGCGACGGUUCGGAUUGUGUUACUAGUUUAGACAACGAUGGGAUAGCCGAACCAAGUAAUGGUUUAGAUUGUGUUGCUAGCUUAGAGAAUAACAUCAUUGGAAAUAUAGCCGAACUAAGUGACGGUUCGGAUUGUAUCACAAGUGAAAGUGAAAUAGCAUUGUCACCUAAGACUGAAUCACAAAUCGGUCAUGUGGAUGUUGGAAAAGAUGAUGACAAUGUCUUGCGGGAUAGUGGUGAAAUAGAAUCCAAAGUAGCUAUGUAUACUUAUCAAAGGCCAUAUCCUGAACAUGUAGAUUCGGUCCCAUACCCGCAAGGAUUUGAGGUGCCCAACUUCACAAAAUUCACAGGUGAGGAUGCUAGAACAACAAUGGAGCAUAUCGGUCAAUUUAUUGAACAAUGUGGUAAGGCUGGUAGUGAUGAUUUGCUUAAGUUAAAGUUGUUUCCUCUUUCCUUGUCAAACUUUGUAUCUACAUGGUAUAGUUUACUUGCUCCUAGUUCAAUUUCUACAUGGUCAUAAAUGGAGCAUGAGUUUCAUGAUUAUUUUAAAGAUGCAAGCUUGAUGGAGAAAAGACCGGUUGAUGAUUCAUCGGUCACUUGUGAAACGAUUUCGGUUACACCUAUGCCUAAGACCGGAAUUGUUAGUAAUCCUCUCCCUAUUAGUCCUAUUGAUGUUGACAAAAAGAAAGGGAAAAGUGUUAUUAUUGGGGAUCCUCGGCCCAAGAAUAGGAUCAAAAAUGCGAAGGCCGAAGAUCGUAAGGUUACAAAAGAUGAGUCAUCUAGUUCCCAAAAGACUAAAAAGCCGAAGCUCACUUUUGAGAUGCUUAUGGCUAAAUACAAGAAAGGAUUAGCCGGUCAAUGAUUUGAUAACCAAACUAGUGAUUCGAAAAGACCAAGAUCAUCUCGUAGGAAGAGAUUUGGUCAAACAUCAAAGCAAUCGGAGCCAUCAACCAUACCAACUCCAUAUAAACCUCCGGUUGUGAUGCCAUGGUAUCCAUAUCCAAUGUCACUAUAUGGUUAUCCUUUUAUGUAUUACAUGCCUUGGAUGCAUCAACCACCUACGCCAUAUUACCAAGAGUGGAAGGAAUCACCUAGGUCAGCAUCAAGUCAUUCAUCUAACUCAAGACAAGACCGUUUACCACAAAAGAAUCGGUCCGGUGGAUCAAAGGUCAAAAAUGUGAAAAAGGUGUGGGUAAGGAAAGAAGCCAAAGAUCCGGAGGUCGUUGCUAUCAAUGAGGAAUAUCAAGAUGUUCAUGUACCUACUAGAGAUGCAGCAAAAACUAUACAAGCGGAGAAGACUAAAGCCGACGUCGUUGCUGUCGACAUCGGCGGUCUGACCGAGCCAGCUGGCCGGUCUAACCGCCAGACAACGGCCGGUAUGACCGACCCUCCUGGCCGGUCUGACCGAUGGCUUGCAGCUGGUCUGACCGGGCCCAGAGGCCGAUCUGAACGGGGGGCAUUGGAGAAGAGUGAGAAAAUUGAGAGCAACACAGGAGCUUCCACUUCGACCAAAAAUAUGAAAAAUCAUUGGUUAGCUCCUGGAAAACAACCACAGCCGAAGUGGAUACCUUAUGGCUUAUCUCGCUCUCAAAAGAGGAGGCUACAGCGUCUUCGAGCCAUAGGUCAAAAAGAAAAAGAGGCCGAAGAUGUAGAGAACAAAACAUGUAAUAAUUUAGAGCCUCGAACGACACCUAAGCGAGUGUGGAGACCUAAAGAAGUAAAAGUUAAGAGAUCGGUGAUUUCCCAAAGUAGUGAUAAAUCCAAUUUGAUGAGAGAAGAAUCAUCGGUCAUUAGAGAUAAGUCUCCUUCACAUGAUGCUAUGGAUGUUAGUACGGUAUUCAUCUUGCCUUCGAAAUCAUGCAAUCAAGAAAGCCGAUUUUGCUUGGGGGGCAAGACAUUAAUAUGCUCAUCAGGGAACCAAGAGAAGAUGAACGGCGAUGGAUACAAUACCACAUCUUUGAGCCGCCGUUUGUUGGAUGCUAAGGCAAGGUAUGCGUUUAUUGUGUUCAUCAUCAUAUUAUAUGCCUAUGCCAUGUUAGAACAUUGCUUAUUAUCUAGCACAUGUGUGUUUUUGCUUAUCGAAUUGAUAUUAUACAUACAUGUUGCAAAUGCUAGUUCUAAGUAGUGGAAUUGGUAGGUUGGCAUAUAAUUUGUUUGAAGUAUGAUUUGGCCCAUGAGUCUUUGAUAUUUAUUUAAAGCCAAAUUGUAUGUGUUUUUAUGGAUCACCAUAUAAGAUAUAGAUUUUAUAAUUAUUGCACCAUGAAAGUUUUGCUUAUUAGUAAUUCGGCUAAUGUCAAUGAUCAAUGUGAUGAUUUAUUCUAGAGUUGUUUUCUUUAGAAACAUUGGCAUUGUUAAUAUUUUGCAUACAUGCUCAAGCCGAUUACUUACAUUUGUGGUUUAUUGGAAUUCAUGUGUGUGAGGCAUAUGACUUUGGUGAGUCAUUAUUGAUCAUACUUCAAUUGGCUAAGUGUUUUGAUGCCAUGAUGAUUAUUGUUUCAAAAGCCAUUUGAAUUAGUAUUCAUCUAGACAUGUUAGUUGGAUGUUAUAGUUUUUCAUAUGUCUAGAGAGAAGGAAUUUUGGUCCAAUAAUUUGAUACACCAAGCAUCUGGCUAUUAUGUGAGGAAAAAAUAUAUACUAAAGGCCGAUGCUUGAUUUCAAAAGUUUGAACGAAAUUGGCAAAACCAUAGACCAGGGGUGGUCUGACCGGCAUUGCACGGCCGGUCUGACCGAUCCCAGACAGGAGGCUGGGGGGCACGUUAUAAUUGAUUAAAAGGCCGAAUUAAUUGUGAAUUCGGACAUUUGUGCCUAUGAGUUAGAAAUAGCUUGGAGAAUUCCUUUGAUUAGAUAUUUGAAAGAUCCUCCACUUAAGGUUGAUCGGAAGAUUCGGCGGUAAGCGCUCAAAUAUUAUAUCACCGAAAAAUAGAUGGUGUAUUACUUAGAUAAUGAUCAAUCUAAAGUUGCUAGGAGAGUAGUACAUGAAGGGAUUUGUGGAAUUCAUCAAUCGGCCCGUAAGAUAAAUUAGUUGCUUAGGAAAGUGGAGUUUCAUUGGCCGAAAAUAAUUGAUGAUUGUUUCAAAUGCUGUAGAGGGAGUGAAGCUUGUUAACGGAUUGGCAAUAUUCAAAUUAGCGCCUAUCGCUGUAUUGAAUCAUAUUAUCAAAUCAUAGCCGUUCCGAGGUUGGGCUUUGGAUUUCAUUGGUCAAAUUUAUCCUUCGUCAUCAAAAGGGCAUUGGAUCGUGCUAGUUGCAAUGGAUUACUUCACUAAGUGGACCGAAUCCAUGCCGCUCGAGAAUAUUACUUGUGCGGAGGUAAUUGACUUUAUUUUGAAACAUAUUGUUCAUAGAUUCGGUAUUCCUCAAACGUUAAAGGAGCUUCUUUAUGUCCAAGGAAAUGAGAAGUUUUGCCGAAUCUUAUGAUAUUAAGUUGUUAAGUUCUUCUCUUUACUACGCUCAGGCUAAUGGAUAAGUUGAGUCGAGUAAUAAAACAUUGUUGAAAUUGCCGUUUUGCCAGUUGAGGUAAAUCUUGGCUCUCUUCGGUAUUUCAAGCAAGACGACUUGUCAGUUGAAGAUUACAAGACCUUGAUGGGAAGCGAUUUUUGAAGAUGUCAUCGACGAGCGUUUGAAGACUUUGAGGGAGAUGAAGACACUUCAAGAUGGCGUUUUCAGAGAUCAAUUAAUGGGAAAUACUUGAAGAAAUACUUCCCGAGCAUUUGGCAAGAUGCUUAGGAAGUCCUAUGGCCGGUAAUUGGAUUAUCGCCCUGAGAUAACAUGUUCUAUGCUUUUAGGUUCACGUAUGUUCACCAAAAAGGCAGGGGGGCAUGUGUUUACACCCAAAUUUGGCACCUAUGGACGAAAUAGGGGAAAAUUGCCAAAGUUUGAAAAGUGACGGGUUUCCUUCAUAGGGCCGGUCAGACCACAGGUAUGUGGGCGGUCAGACCGUCAGGGUCCGAGUCCGAGUCUGUUUUCGUCGGGUCUCGGGUUUCCUUACUCGGGAAGGCAGGUUUCGUGUUUCCUUUGGUUUCUAUCCCGAGUUGGACGUCGAGAAGGGCCUGUAGAGGGCAAGACCAACCCCUAUUUAAGGGACAAGGCCGAUUCAUUGUAAACCCCCCGAAUACAAUCUACUUGAAUCGUUCUUUUACUAUGUUUUCUAUUUUACCCUAGUUUUAGUCCAUCUUUGUCGGUUUGCGCCGUAAACCGUCCGCCGCUGCUGCGAGAGUGCAACACCUCUUUGUAGGUUUGUCCUGAAAACCUUCCAUUUUGCCUACGAGACGGGUAGUUAUCCUCAUAUCGAUCUAAAUCGGCCUAGCCGGUUUAGUUGUUUUUCCUCAAAACCCAUCUUGAUUUAGCCGUUUGGCUAGAUUAAGGUGGUUGGCGCCUCCAUAUCACCGCAAGGCGUUUAGGUGUUGCGAUCGUGCUUGUCGACUUGUCAAAAAAGUUGCCAACAACAAGUAUAUCCCUUAUCACCUGUCCUCUUUGUGUUAGGAACAGACUUGUUAAAAUCUCUAAUUAAUGAAGCUUAUAGAAAAAGGUAUUUUAAGUAUGGAUGUUCCUACUACUGAUAAUGAUUUCCCAAUAAUACAAUAUGCAGAUGAUAUUGUAUUAUUUGUAAAAGCCUUUGGAAAAGAACUAUUCUGUCUGAAAACUCUAUUAAAUACUUUCACGCUUCCACAGGAUUGAAAGUUAACCAUCACAAGUCAUAUGAUCCCACUAAAUGUGGAGGAGGAAGAAGCUCAUAGCUUGGCUGGUUUAUUUGGACGUUCAAUUGGGACCUUGCCUUUCACCUAUCUUGGUCUCCUACUAGGUACAACAUUGAUUUUGCUCCCUUGACAGAUAGAAUUGAAAGAAGAUUAUCUUUAGUAACUACUUAUCUUUUAUUAGUGAUAGAUUAAUUUUGGUAAAUUUUGUCUUUUCAUCACUACCCACCUAUUACAUGUGCUCUUUGUCUUUGUCAUGACCCGAGGCCAUGACAGGAUAAACACCGCCGGGAAGAUAGCUGGGCGGCGUCGGCUCCUGGAGAAGGGAUGUAGAUUUAGGCUAAGGAGAAGAACAUUGUUGGGAGGGAGAGAUUAGACUAAUUGAUAUUCAUUGCUUAAUUGAUAAUAGACACAAUCCCAUCCUUAUAUAGAUAGUACAACUUGACUCCUAAGUAAGAACUUAAUCUUAUCUUAUCUUAUCUUAUCUCUGACUAACUAAUAAUCUUAUCUCUAACUUAAUUGAUAUGGGCUGCCUAUGGACCUCUGUCUUCCGGCCCAAUGCCCAUUACAAUACACCCCUCCUUUUGAGCAGCUCAUCCUCGAGCUGCAACAUGGACUUCUAAACUCAAAUGACUCCAAUCUAAGAUAACAUAAGCCUUUUACAUCUCGACUUAUUAGAUUAAUUGGAAUAGAAGAUAAAGCCAAUACGAAGAAAUAUGUUCUACUAGCAGUCGGUGGACCCCCAUCCUAUGUCUCGUAAAGAAAGGACGAGGCCAUGCCGUGCCACAAGCCUGGACCCAAUGCAACUAAGUAGGAAUUCUAACGUCAACCAACGCAUAGAUGAAGAUCGUUCCAAUCAAUCCAAGUCCACAGGUAGACAUGUCCGUUAGUGUGCAGCAAAGGUCUACCGGGCCAACCCAACAGCCAAGCCAUGGGCUGCGGCACUUGGAGCCCGCUCCACUGGAUUGGCCCAAAUGAAAAGUUGUGUUGGCCCAUUUGAAGCAGAGGGAAAACCCUAUCCUUGGCUUCUCCCUUCCGUAGCGCCACCAAAAGACGAGGAUGCAAACCUGGGCAUUUCUUUCUCGCCCAAGCCACAAACGCUGUUGUGCAAAAUGCGCCGCCCCUCCACCCCACCAACUACCGCCGCAUGUCCACCAACUGCCACCGCUAGCGGUGCUGCCUGCUGCUCCUUCCAGCAGCCAACAUCCCGCAGAGAGAGCCGAAGUGGAGGUGCCACAGCCGGCAGUGUAUUAGUCAUACUCAUCUAUGUUUUUUUGCUGCACCGCCACUUCGUGCUCCACCAUGCAGGCUGCCGGCGGGAUCAACUGAAUUGAAGGCAUAUCAACCGUCGGCAUCAUGGCUAGUCCCGUUGCCGCCUCUUCUUCCUUCUCCUUUGCCAGCUCCUGCAGCAAGGCUGCCAAGUCCUGCAUGAUAGCCCUCAACUCUUUGAUGUCUUCCUUCCACUCCGUGAUUGUAAUACCCCGUAUAUUAAAAGAUACUUAGUUUUGUAGUUUGGUUUGACUUGUUUAAAAUAAAGAUGUUAACAAAAAUAAAUAAAAGAAAAUACCUUUUGAAGUAGGCCAACAUGAGAAGGCCCAUAAACCCAGCCCAUUAGUUCUCCCCUAAAACCUAGAGAGAGGGGAACUGAAUCCCACCUCCCCUCAUGGUGCCGCCACCCCUCUCCCUUGCCGGCGCCUCCUUCCUCCCCUCCUCCUGUGUUCGCAUCUCUCGCCUCUACAGCAAAUUGCUCUCUCUAGAUCUCCACCUUCAUAGCUUGGAUCAAGAAGCGAAGUAGAAAACGGAACGAGGAGGAGGAGAGGAGUAGAAGGAGGGGUUAGACCGGAGUCUCCCCUAUUGUCUCCUCACAAGUUCUCUAAAGAAACCCUAGGUGAGGCUUAUUCCCUUGUUGUAUCAGUUGUUCUAGCAUGGCUUUAGUGCUUUAAUUCGUGGUUAGGGAAGGCUAGAGAAGGAGUUUGGGUAGUUGCGGUUCAGUUUGUUGCAGUUCUGCAUGUGGGCAGAUUUGCAGUGCUUCAGUGUUUCGAUGUUUCGGGGCUCUAAAUGUUAUUUUCUGCAAAAGUGUAUAACUAGGAAGUUGUAGAUAAUGUUUGGAUCUAUCUCUGACCAAAGGAUGAGAUUUUAUCUCAAGUGGUUUAGGAGAUAUAAUUUUUUUAGUAUGACUAUUGUUUUUGUGUCAUAAUUUGGAUAGUAGUAGAUUGAACUGUUUUUGGAGAGGUUAAACAGUGGAAUCAGCUAGGCUGCCUAUAGACAAAGUUGUAAAGGUUUUUCUUAGCUUUCCAUAUUGGAAAAGUACACCCUGAUUGGGUGAGUAGAACUCCAGUUAUGGUUUUGGUAGUGUGGACAGUCUAAAAUUCUGGAUAGAUUCUGAAGCCUGCUUUCAAGCACAAAUUAGACCAUUUUUAUGGCAGAAGAAAAAUAUGCUUUCUACAUCAAAGUUGUAGGUAUUGUUCUUUAGAAUUUCAAAAAAUAUAUAUUUUUAGUCAUAGCCUUUUCAUAUUUCAAGAUAUAAAGGUUUGAAGCAGCAGUCUUGUGUAUAGUCUAAGCGGCAUUCCUUGUUAUUGAGUUUUGAUGGGAUGGGGCAGUAGGUUCACCUUUUUCAUUGUUUUAUACGCAUGUUUGAAUGUGUUUGCUGAGGUUUUGUUUGUGAUUAGGUGGUGGUCCAUCAGAUCGUGCAUGAUACCAAUCCUUCGUUGGAGGCAAGUGCAUGACGAACUAAUUGUGUGAUUUAUGGAUUGUUUACUCUAUCUAUUUAUAUCUGGUAUAUUUCUACGUGAUAGGUAACUGCUUAUGUUCAUAUUAUUGUUCACGCCAUUUAGAUUUCAAGUUGAUCUUAUGUGUACGAUGUUAUUCUUGUUUUAAUAUUCUGGAUUCUGAUUCUGCUUAAAUAAUUCAAGUUUCCUGCUUGCCAUGGAUGUGCAAUAUGGUUUCAAUUUGGUUCUUUGAUUCCGGUUUCAAUUAUUCAAGUACCAUGCGUAGUCAUGGGAGUGCAAUUUGGUUCUUUAUUCAAGUUCCUGUGGGUAAGCGUUGAUCACGCUUACUUGGCUUUGCUGGCAAAUGAUAGGAUGUAUUCACUAUUGUCCGGGAUGGAAGCUACUAUUUCAAUUUAUGCCUGCCCGGGAUGGGAACUACUAUCUUCUUUGACUUGGUGUUUGAAAACGUGUUUCUUAUUAAAGAAAGAAAGCCUUUUGUUCAUGCUUUAUUGCCAAUGAUGUGUAUAUGUGUUUUCUAGUUCCAUAUUGUACUUGCUGAGUAUUUUUAUACUCACUCUUGUGUUUUAUUUGGUUUUAGGUACAUAUUGAGACCGACAUGCAUGGGAGGAAAGUAGCACCCUUAUAUACACAUUUAUCUGCACACUAUCAAACUAUAUUGCCUAGGUCCAUAAUGAUACUUAAACUCUAUCAUGGUUCGGUCUUGUAAUAAUCUUUUAGAUUUCUAAUAGUUUCUUCCCCAUGGAUUAUUAGGAUGGAUCGUAUUGUGGGAAUGAUAUUGUUAUUAGUUUAACUUAUAAUUGCCUGUCGUGGAUGUCCAUAUUUACAGGGGAGAUUCUGCCCAAAUUUCUAAUAAUUUUGGGAGUUAGUGGUUUGAGUGUAUUUUGGUGUGGCACUCUAGGUACGUGGUUACCUGGGGUGUUACAGUGAUGAUUGUGGAGAGAUAUGUCACCGGUGUCAUGGAGUUGUUGGACUGCUGCUCCCACUGUAUGUCCAACCAACAACAGCCGUCAUAGAUGGCACGACCGUUGAGGUUCCAAGCAUGCUCAGCAGCUGCUCGAGUUUGAAACGGAACGGAGGCCUCCACAUGUGUUCCCAUCUGGCGUACUUCAAUCUUCCUUUCCGCUCUAUAGCCAUCAAACAAUUGGUGAAGUAGAUACUCAUCCACCGGAUAUACUAGAUGGCUCACUGUGAUACGGAGAACUCUAUCGGCAUCGGAAGCCAUGGUGAGUGGCUCUGAUACCAAGUUGUCAUGACCCAAGGCCAUGACGGGAUAAACACCACCGGGAAGAUAGCCGGGCGGCGUCAGCUCCUGAAGAAGGGAUGUAGAUUUAAGCUAAGGAGAAGAACAUUGUUGGGAGGGAGAGAUUAGACUAAUUGAUAUUCAUUGCUUAAUUGAUAAUAAACACAAUACCAUCCUUAUAUAGAUGGUACAACUUGACCCCUAAGUAAGAACUUAAUCUUAUCUUAUCUUAUCUCUAACUAACUAAUAAUCUUAUCUCUAACUUAAUUGAUAUGGGCUGCCUAUGGACCUCUGUCUUCCGGCCCAAUGCCCAUUACAGUCUUUACCUAAGUAUGUUAUAAAAAUCAUAGAUAGAGCCAAAAGACAUUGCUUAGGAGUGUCUUGCAGUGUGAAUGGACACACGGCUCGCUCACUCAGAGUGGUGGGGAAUGGUCUAGGCUAGGGUUAAGGAGUAGGGGUGUUGGCAUUUUUGUAUUCAGAGGGGUGGAUCUCAGUAGUGCAAUGCGAUCAAAGAGCCACGUCUGCAGCCAACUUGCUCAUCUCCUUCUACUGGGCCUAUAGUGUUGUCUGGCCCGCCCACGUAUUGUGCCUAAUGGGCUUCGAGACCGAGCAUAUGUGCACGUCACACCAAAAAGGAAUUCAGCUUUGAUAUUGUAGCACGUUUGUUUGGUUUCCUUUCCUCUAUUGCUAUAUAUAUUUAUGGAUUUGAUCAAUGUGUCAUCUGAUUUUAUAUUGCCUAAAAUUAUUGAUUAGAUGAUCAAUAUUUUAACUUCAUUAACUCAAGUUGUUCUUCUGCCGAAUGUUGAAAUUAUGAGUUUUGUAUUCGUCCACGUGUUUCUUCAUCCCGCAUGUACAUAUAGGAUUAAUCAUUUGGCUAGACUGCAAUUCUAGCCGUAUGUUCAAUGGCAGUAUAAUUUUGGUUGAUUAGAACUAACCAGAUGAGACGCACUUGCAUAUUCAAAGGGUGUCGCAUAAAAUCUUAGGUUGGAAGCCUCGAAAAGUCUAAUCCCCAAACUGAAGAACCAUACGACUAAAACCAUCAAAUCCCAUUGUAAUAUAUCAAAUUAGACUCAACUCCUAUCGAUUUGGUAACCCAUCAAAUUAGACUCGAUUUCACUGAUUUGGGAUUCCGAAGGUGUUAACAUGCCAUAGUUUUUUUUUCCAUUGCAACGCACGGGCACCAUGCUAGUCAUUAUAUAUGUAUAUAUUAUCCAAAUUAACCAUUUGCUAAGCAUUAUGCUUGACUCAAAUGUAUAGACAAUAAAGCCACUGAUGAUAUGACGAGAUAGCAAGAUUGGUAUUCCCUCCGUCCCAAAAUAAACCAACCUGGUACUAGGAUGUGUCACAUGCUUAGUAGGUUGGUUUAUUUUGGAAUGAAGGGAGUAGGUAUUAAUAAAAUUAUAAUACAUAACUUUCAUAGAAGAAACUAAAAAUACUUACAAUAACUACUGGAAUUCAAAUAUCCAUUUCCACAUAUGGUUAUAAUUACUAUUAAGCAAGCCAUGCAUGCUUAUUCCAUUUAUUGCUAGUUUCAUAGGAUCCAUACAUCUUCACUGCAUAUAUACCUUCAAUUAUCAUACUCGUUUUUCACCAUUGCUACCAUGCUUUUUGGAAUCCUUUUUAUCAUCACCAUUCUUUUGACCACUACUUUCACCCUUCUCAGAGUCCUCUUCAUCGCUUAGCUCCUUAGAGCACUGAUGCUUGGCCUGAUUGUGAAUAUUGUGUGAUUCCUCCAUCACUGUCAUCUUCUGUGGUUCCUCCCUAAGUGGUUGUCUUCCCGUUGUGUUUUCUCCACGGGACACUAUAGUCUCCUCCUUGAAGUCUACAACAGCGAAGUCCUCCGGAAUUAGAGAUGGAACUCUAUGGUGCUUGGCCCUUGCUGGUCUAUGGCCCCAAUGGGACAUCUUCGCUACAAUUCUAAUAAUUGUGAAUUAUUUGCUGUAUAAUUGAAUUGUGUUCUUUAUGUGCAACAUAGCCUGCCUAUUUAUAGGGAUACCGAUAAGUAUAACGAUGCACAAAGUGAACUGAUUGUUACGCACGCGAUCAAUAGGUCAUAUGCCAUCUAGCCAGGCUUGCGUGGAUCCUUUGUUCGAUAAGUUCAGAUAAGUAUGAAAAAGUUUGUAUACGUGGUUCCUUUGUUUCAUUUGUUUGGAUAAGUGCACAAAAGGAAAUAUGACAAAAUGCAUGUGUGCUUUGAAACAAACAGAUUUUCUUCCAUGCUACAAGAUAAUGAUUUGUAUGAGAAAGGUAGAUGAUACAGACAUGUGGCAUUUGUUUGCUUACCAGUUUGGGCAUGCAAAGUGAAUGCUAUGAAACUCAUGCGUAUCCUAUAAAACUAUUGUGCACUUUCACACUGCUAUUUUUUCGUGAAGCAAGUUGUAAGUAAUGCAAGGGCAAGUGACUUUACAAAGGAUAGACAGAUGAUAUGGCAUAUAGAUAUAUAUUAAUUCCUUGGUUGUUAGCAACAAGCAAAGGAAAUUAGGUUUUGCUUAGAAGUAAGGAGAUUAACUUAAACAUUUGUCAUGUUUACAAUGGCAGAGAGGAUGCUCUAUGGAGUUAAAAAAUAUGAAUCUACAAAUUAUGGAUAUGAAGCAAAACACCCCUUUAACCAAGCAUUCCUAAUACUUGGCGAAGUAGACCAUCCAUCAAUCUAGAUUUGGAUGUGUCUUGGGAUCCUGAUCUUUCGGUGACAAAAGAUAACUACGAUUUGGUCGAGAAUAUGUUAACAAUCAAACUACAAAUGAACGAGACAUCAUGUUGCGCCUUACCUGAUUGAUAUAUCCACUCAAACAUGUUUCUAGUCAACCAUAAUCCCUGCAACCAAUAGAAGAAUAAACAAGUAUAAUAUGAGAAGUAAUAUGAAAUUGCAAACAGGAAAUAAUCACACGAUAAUUUGGGGUUCCAACCUAUGUGAUUUUGGUUUCGAGGGCUCCCGUGUACUUAUGAUAAUAAUAUAUCAUGAAGGAAUAAUGUUAGAGUAAGGCUCCAUUUGAAUGUGCUGCAGGCUGAAGAUUAUCACCGGCAUGAAAACGAGAUGAGUCAUUAGCGUGUGAUUAAUUAAGUAUUAGCUAUUAACUUGAAAAAUAGAUUUAUUUGUUUAUAAAAGAAACUUUUAUAUAGAAAGUUUAGUUUUUAAAUAACCUAGUAUAAUUCAAAGGUAAUUUUUGGGAUGGGGCACCAUUGUUGAGCCCAGAAAUUCACGAACCAGAAUUUCUAAGCUGAAUGUGCAUUAAAACCCCUGUCCAGGAUCAGCCAAGGUACACAAACGACAAUUGUUGACAUACAGAUCCACGUCUUACAAAAAUAUAAAAGAUUACAAAUGCAGCGAAAAAAAUAAAGACGAGCUCAACUUGAAAGCUUGACUCCUGCAGCGGGGCGACUUCACUCCACAGGCAUCCUUGACGGCAGCGACGAAACCAACUUCUCCGAGAAAGCUCCAACUGGCAAGAACUUCAGCUCUAGUGUGGGGAAGAGAGAGCAAGACUGCUAUCCAUUGUACUCAACAAGUCAUACCGGAAGAGGAGGUAUGAUGUAAGAUAUAACCAAAGGAGGCUAAAGGUUCAUUUGCAUAAAGCAGGCAUUUAAGAACAUAAGUUGAAAGAAGUAAAACAGUUGAGGUAAAUUAAGCAAUAUUAAUCAUCACUGUCCAACGCUACACCAUGUUGCAAUAGGCCCAACCAACCACCUGAACUACACUAGUUCAUUAAACCAAUUAUUAAGGAUGGGAUUAAUCACGGUGAAUAUGGUUGAUCGCUCAUAACCGCAGGCAUGGCUAUUCGAAUAGUUUUACUUUGGCCAGAGAUGUACAACUGUACCCACAAGACACGAUUCCACAUAUGUUGCCAUGCCCCGAAGUACCACCAUGGUACUGCAAAGGGGGAAAUCAUGACAAGACCCUUCGCAUAACCCUCCCCUAACCAUCCACACCACUCUAAUGUUUCACCCCCACUCCUAACCCAGAGUGGGCAGUACCCUCAUGCGCCGUGGUGAAUCCGGCAGCUAGACAACCGGACACCCCGGCCGACCCAACUCCAUCACGCCCACCCUCGCCACCAGUGCCUAGGAAAGGGUCAAGUUAUACUACAAGUCAAGCAGUUACCCAUUCCCGCCUGUGGUAAGCAUGGUAAGUCUUCAAGGGUUUCCCGUGAACUGGUCCUUAAUUGUCAUGGAUGCGACGAGCAAAACCAUGCACCCACAGCCCACCAUUCAGUCGCAUUUAAUUGGAUAAUUAUGACCAAUGAAACAUGGCCAGAUGUCUCGAGCUCGCAGCUUGUCAUGAAACUAAAUGUCUAAUAAUGUAAUUAUCCCAUUAUGUGAGCUAGUGGAUCUAAGCAUGGCUAAACAUUUCCUAAACCAACAUAUAGUCAGAUUAAUACCCAAGUUCUCAAUGGCUGAGUAAUAGGACGCAUCCCACAUGGCAUUGUAAAAUAAUACAACACUUAAUAGAAAGCGGGACAUUUGUAAAUUGGGUACAAUAUGAUCAAUUGUAAUGCAUGACUUUCCUUGCUCUUGCGUUGUUGAGACCUCUGCAACAUCUUCAACGCACCACGGAGCGACAAUACGGCCGAAAACUACGCGACAAACAAAGUACACAAGCAAAACAUGCUAUAAGUCUACUGAAACAGGAAACAAAACCAUUUUUAAUGGAUUUUAGGGAUUUUUAUGAAUUUAAUGAGACUUGAAUAGACUUAAACAGAGCUCAGAUGAAUUUUCUAUAAAUUUUAGAAGAUUUUCUGGGUUUUCACUAUAAAAAGAAAAGCCUUAAUGAUUUAUUGCACAAUAUAACCCAGGGCUGACGUCACCAAGGGGAGGGGCGGCGCCGGCAAGCGGGCCCCACAGGUCAGCGGAUCAAGGGGGAGUCGGUCCAUAGUGGACCAAGUUUAUGGGACCGAGGGUGGUGUGCCACGUGGCGCCGACGUGGCACCAUGCGGCCGGCCACGCGGGCCACGGAUGGACGGCCACGAUCUGCCGAGGAGUAGAUCAGGCGGCUAGGGACGGGCGGCACCAAGGCCGACCCGAGCAUGGCGCACGGUGGCGGGCGGCGCCGUGGCGCGACGGCGUGCAUGCGGUUAGCGGCGGCGCGCACGAGAGAGGAGGGAAAGGGGAGGGAAGGGGGUCCUCACCGGCGAGCUCGGAGGCUGGAGCGGAGGAUGAAGGCGGCGGCGGCGGCCCGACGACAUGGAGGGGCGGACGGGCGGCGGUGACACCUAAGGAGAGAUUUGAGAGGGGUUAGGAGUAGAGGGAGUGACCACGGCGGCAAACGCAGUUGGCCGGAGGCGGGGAAAUUGCGAAACUCACCGGUGAGCGAGGGUAAUGGGGCUCCAGUGGGAGUCCGACAACACGAGGCGGUGGCCGAGAUGGCUUACGCGGCGGCGGAGAUAACGGCGGUGAAUGCACGGCGUGGCGGUGGCUCUAGCAGCAACGGCACACGGCCGGAGUUCAGCGGCGGUUGCGGAGCUCGGGGGGAGCGGCGCGGCGGCGGUUGUUGGUAUUUCUUAGCGACACUACUGGAAAUAUAAUUCACAGUAAUAGCACUAGAAAUAAUCCUGGUAUAUUAUGGUUACAGAUGUGAUCCGCAAGCACACGGAUAUACCAUUGUAGCAUUUCUCCUGGGAGUAUUCCAAGGUAUCGUAUUUAUUUUAUCCCAAGGGAAGAUAUGAUAAGAGAGUACUACACUAAUAGUUUAUAUAUCACUUGUAUACAUCAAAGUCUAUGUAAGGGUUAAUUCAGUUAGAGUGACACACAGAAGAAAAACCUAAGAUACUCUCACUAAAAUAGUCUAGGCUAAGUGGUGAAAGAAUAAGAAAAGUAUCAUUUCUAUACUUCUAGUAUACAUACAUCUUUAGUCUAUACUAGCUAAUAUACAGUCAUGUAACCAAUACCCCGUACCCAGUUUCCUCUGUUUUGAGAGACCACCCCUGGUUGCCGAGUUCCUUACGACAACCUGUCAUGGCCAUCCAACCGGGGCUAAAUACGGAAGAGUACCCUCCCCAGGAAAUUGCACUUAGGAUUAUAUACACGCGCGGAGGAAUACCCGUACUGAGCUGUCACCAUCAGCGGCCCACCCCGACGUAUCCGCAACAUAUAACCCCAAUUAAUGAUACUUAAUAAUCUAGACACCAAGUCUACAUUAUUAAAUUCUACUCUACAUCCAUGCAUCCGACAUAGAGUAACCGAAUACUUGGACAUUAAACCCAUACCAUUACACCUCUCUGGUAAGCUAGUUACACAACUAUAUCGGCACAAGUAUAAAGUAAAAUCGGUACUCAGACAAUAUAAAUGGAAUAAAAUACCGAAGAUAUAUAAAGAAGAAUAUUCUAUUAACUCAAUAAGCCUUACAAAAGAAGAGAAAAAAGCUACUAUAGCCAUACCCGAAUUCUCCUGAAGACUCGAGGACCAAGAUUGUUAUUCUAAUUCCUACUCCACUAGCACUAGUGUACAACUAAACUUGUGAGAGGGAGAGAGCUCUUCUUCUUGAGUGAGUGUGUGUUGUAGGGAGUGAGGAGAGCUCCUUUUAUAGGCUGAGUAUGACGGUUAUGACAGUUGGAAAGGUCAGUAAUACCCUCCAACCAUCAUUGGGAAUCCAUUUGAGCCGUCCACCCGAAACCCCACAUCCAUCGGCGCUGAGGAGGGUUCGGCCGAACCAUAGGCUGGCUCAAACCGGCCCAUUUUCAGCAGGCUUUCUCCUCUUCUGUUCCUCAUUUCAGAAGUAUGAAUUUUGGGCUUAUUUACUCGUGUCAAUUCAGUGGCUUCAGCCCAUCUAUCCAUGUCUAAUUCUCGGCAGCGUCUGAUAGAUCAUUCAAGUGUUUUGCUGCCGAUUCUCCUCCAUUUAUAUAUGCUUCUCCUGCAUAGAUGUUAGUAUGAUAGUAUAUAGUAGAAGUAGAUAUUUUAUUUGAAAAUGAUGCAUUGCAAGCAUAGCUAGUCUUCAUUAAUUAAUUAGGUAAUAUUGACGGUCGAAAUUGGUCGAUAACGACCGUCAACAUCGGUAGAGAGCAUGGGACGGUGCGCGCGAGUGGGGAAAAGGAUGGAGGAGGAUCGGGGAAGUGUUUUUAUAGGCGAGGGGGAGGCGGCCUAUUUUACCGCCAAUGACGUGGGGGGGGUUGGGGGAGAGAGAGGGGGAUUCAAAUUGAAUCUCGCCCCUCACGGGCGCGUGCGUGGGGCGGGAAGGCGGGGGCAUGAGCGGCAACGUGGGUGCGGGCGCGGGAGGAGCGGGAAAGGCGGCAACGGUGGCUGCCGCCGGCUAGAGGAGGAAGACGGAGCUGACAGGUGGGCCCACCUGUCGGUGACCCGGAGAGAGGAGGGAGGGGGCGGGUCGGCCCAGCCGAGAGGGCUGCGCGGGAGCAAGGUGGGCCGACGGCCCAAGAAGAGGGAAAAAGGAGGAAAUGAAAAAGAAGAAAAAAGGAAAUUGAUUUCCUGGGAUUUAUAUAUUGCGGUUAAUCGAUUUUAUUUGGUUAAAAUUAUUUAUAGGGCUCUGAAAAUUCCACUAAAAAUCCUGUUAAUGCAUUAGAGCAUGGGGAACUUAAGAAAAUUCCACCACACCGAUUCCAAUUAUGAAUUGCAUUUAUUAAAUAGAGAUUAGCUCUAGGUUAAUUUAAUUUAAACAAUUUCUUCAGGCGAUUUAUUAAACAAGUUUUAAAGUAAGAGAGGGGAAACUUCAGGGCAUGACAACCAUACAAUAUCUAGUGCAUAUAACAUCACCAAGCCUUCUGGGCACUCUAGCUAUACCUUCUAUACUUAGAUUUGUGGCUGCCGAUAAUACUGUAUACCUAGUUUUAUAUGGAAAGGUGUACUCAAAUAUGGCAUAGUGCAUAUAAUUAAAGAUGCAAACUCCAUUCCCUGUAAGUAAAGUUGUUGGACUCCGACCCGGGUACUACAAGGAUUUAUCUUCCCGUAUCCCACAUAGACUCACUAAUUUCUACUUGGAGAACAUGUUGCCUAACUGUAUAAAUACAACAUCCCGCAAGAGGGGAGGGCAUCAGAUAGCAAGCGAUAGCCACGAGGCACAUCGAAGAUCAACCAUGAGCAAGCCUACAGUUAACCUUCGACUCCAAGUCGACAAGUCGUCCUAUUAGUUCUCGACGAAUACUAGUUGAAGGCUAAUGUAAUCGACCAAAGUAUAUGAUAUCGUCACUUUUGUAGUGGGUUCAGCUGAGUGAGCUCAGUAAGAAGACCUUAAUUUCAGUUAGCACUGAAGAUAGGGGAAAUAAAACCUAAACAAAAUCUCCUAACUGAAGAAGAUGCAUGGAACAUGCAUGCAAAAGACAAGGACUUUUGUACUGAGAACCUGAGAUAUUUUUUUUGCAUCUCAAUUACCACCAGAAACGUGACGAUUUCUGGACGGCGAUGGUCACCUCACGGCUCUGUUCAUGGCUGGCUGAUGUAGUGUAUUAUGUAUAGAUAGUUUAGCGUAGUGUGACAGGCACGUCCCACUCUGCAAAUCUUGAAUUUAGUUGCGCCGGUUACGCAAUGUUUGCGUGAUGUUAUGUGCCAUUGAAAUUUUUCUUUUUCUUUUCCUUUUCUUGUAGGGAAAAUAACUGGCCGUCCAUAUAUAUAAAAGUGAGCCAUGUGAAAGAACGGCCCAGAGUAGACAACUCGCUAUCAAGAAGCGAACGCAACGACGGAAAAUUCCAAACGGAAAGCUCAGCCAAAAUACAUGUUUGUUUGUUCUUUUCCCAGGACUUCUAGCUAAAUUGCUGGAUUGUUGUCUCUGGAAAAAAAAAAGAGCUAUCGCCGUAGGGUCGAGGAUUAUCUAUUUUAUCAGUUAUAAAUUAAAAUAUUUGGGAGAUAAACAGAACAGGUAGCUUGGAACAAGUGGUCCCAACAAUGCUGAAGAAAGUUUCUCUGAAACAUAUUUUUCUGAGGGGAGAGAAUAUAUAGAGGUAUACUUCGUCUUAUAAAAACCUACUCUUGUACUGAUAUAACACUGUUGGUUGAUUUUAUCGACUUGUGCCGAUAAGGGUUAGAAGGGGAUCUAAACCACCGGUUUCCUUAUCCUAACAAGAAACAAACUAAAAGAUAAAUUCGUUUUUUUAUGUGAUCGGUACAGAAAACGAAUUCUAAACUAUUUGAGAUAACCCCCGAGCCCCACCAGUGUCGCCUAUAUAAAUAAAGAGAAGGAAGGAGGCAGAUGACGACCGAACUCUCUCUCUCUAAUCUCAAACCCUAAAUUAAUCGCCCGAUCGAUCUAGACACUGGAAGGGGUUCGUGAGGCAUCUCUAGAAGAAGAAAGAAGAACAGCAAUGGCUUCAAACACAGGUCAGUACAUCAAUUAUUUUUCCGCAUAAGUAAGAGGUGAUUGUUUGUAGACUAAAGCCUAAGAUCCUGUAAUUAGAACUCCAAUAUUGUGGUAUCAGAGCUGAUCUUUAGUCCACUCAAUCCCUAAUAAUCACAUCAUCCCUAUGAUUAGAAGCCAUCCUUAAAAAGUUCAAGAUUGGUUCGGCAUGAACAAUUUUGAAUUAGAUUAGAUUAAUUUCUUUAAGUCUUGGUUGCAUAUUAAGCCAUGUUAUACUGAUUGGUCUCGACCAACAGUAGAAGAAGCAAAGUUAUUGAAGAAUUUAAUUUCGUUGCUUAGCAGUAGAAUUUAAGAGAAGAAUGAGGAUUGGGAUAAACGAGAUUGAAAUUCCCAAAUUCUCACACUAAGAAUUCCCAGACCGAAGCUAUGGUUUCGGCCAGAUAUUAGAGGGGAGGAUAGGUCAAGUCAGAACGAAAAUCCCCAAUUAACUAUUUUAAUCUACUCGGCCUAUUGCAAGGUUAAUUAAUCUACUGUUCUUGCAUGAUUAAGUUUUUCAUCAUGAAUAAGCUUCGGCUAGCAGUGGAUUAAGAAGAAAAUUGGGAAGACGGGAUAAACUAGAUUGAAACUCCCAAAUUUUUCCCCAACUAUUUAGCUCAGAAAAGAGGAGUUUGGGAUAAACAAGAUUGAAAUUCCCAAAAUCCACACCUCAGAAACCCUAAUUCGAAGAAAUCCCCAAAAUUCGAAGAACCCUAAUUUCGGUUCUAAGAACCCUAAGUCACAAAGUCUGAAUUAAAUCCAAGAAGAAAAUUAGGCUCGGGUUCGGUGACUUGCCGGAUUUUGAAGCCCCCUAAACCGGAAGCAGCGUCGCUGCCACUUCACAUCCUUGCGGCCGCGUCGGUCUUCCCGUACGCGCGCCGUCUUGGAGUGUACCUCCACCGUCCCUC